rnacentral:lncRNA from 1 species
GGCUGCCGGCGGAUGGAUCGGCGGUUGGAGUUCCUGUUGUUCAGGUCCGAUUGAGAAAUAGAGGAGAGGAGAGGUGCCGUGUCGAUUAUGUCAGAGGACGACGAUCCUGCCCGUGACGGCGUUGACGUUGCUGCGUCGGUCGACAUGGUUUGACUCUGGAAUCUAGAUGUGUUUGAUCGUGUAUUAGCUUCUUGUGUAAAUCUCAAUAUGGGGAGGGUUUUGCCUCCAUGGAUAGAGGAGGUGGAGAAAUGUGAUUUCAGAACAUUAAUGGAGAGAAAAUUCGGCAGGAGAGGAUGAUUGAUUGGUUAAUUCGCCUGAGACCUAGAUGAUCCACAAAAUGAUGAGCUGGAUUUGAUUUAGAGAUCAGAUUAAUAACUAAGAAGAUUUUAAAUUUUAAAUUAUGAAAUUAUGCGUCGGCAAUGGAAUGGGUAAGUUGGCCCAAACUAUCGGGCCGGAGAAAGCCCAUUUCUUUCGCAACUCCUCUUCUAACUUCUUCAAGGUUUUCCAGGUAAGGUUAAAUAAGAGAGGUAAGCGUCUGUCUAGGGUUUUACGAGGACAGAAGACCCAGAGCAGCAGCUGGAGGAGGAUAGCUGCGGUGACUGAAACCUACAUCUUAUCACCAUGGUUCUGAAGUUCGUCUUCUUCACCUUUCUCCAUCUGUUCUCGUUGUUUCGUUACUUCCUGUACCAACCGCACUAUUGCUUCAAUCCGAUUCAAAUUGUUAGUUUCACGUUUUCCGGUGGUUUGUAGGAUGGAAUGAUCAGCAGACGUAGUUCUCUUGUAGACUUUGUUCAUUUCUUAUGCUUAACUGGGCGAUUGCUGAUGUCGCUCUCUUCUGUUCUAUUAGGACUGAGCUAUGCCGUUUCAGCGGUCAAAAGAUCUAUCCCGGCAGGGGCAUCAGAUUUAUCCGGUCUGAUUCUCAGGUAAUAGCUCUUCUAAUAUCUAUAUGACGAUAUCCCUCAACACCUCAUGAUGAUUCACUUAGCUAUAAUCUGUCUCUUGUUGAAUAAUUCUAUGUUUCUUCAAUUUUGGUGUAGGUUUUCCUCUUUGCCAACUCCAAAUGCAAGAGGUACUUCCACAACCGUCUGAAGCCUUCCAAGCUUACCUGGACCGCUGUGUUCAGGAAGCAGCACAAGAAGGUAAUGACCCAAAUUUUGCUUCGUGCUUUGUUGUUUUGGUGGAGAUGCGUCUAGGUCUUGUUGCAUUUUGCUUAGUGUGGUAAUUGUUUGUGCUGUUCUUCUAGGAUAUUGCUGCUGAGGCUGUGAAGAAGAAGCGAAGGACCAACAAGAAGCCUUACUCGAGGUCUAUUGUCGGUGCUUCCUUGGAGGUGAUUCAGAAGAAGAGGGCUGAGAAGCCGGAAGUCCGUGAUGCUGCUCGUGAAGCUGCCAUUCGGUAUGCUUACUACCCAACUGUCAUACGACAUGGCUUUUUUGAAUUGGGAUUUUCAAUGUAGUAUGAUUGGAUGUUUGCUGCAGUGAGAUCAAGGAGAGGAUCAAGAAAACCAAGGACGAGAAGAAGGCGAAGAAGGCUGAAGUUUCAAAGUCACAAAAGGCACAAGGUAAGGGUGCUAUGCCCAGGGGUGCUGCACCCAAGGGAGGACCCAAGCUUGGCGGUGGCGGUGGAAAGCGGUAAAUUUAAUCCGACACUUUCGCGACGAGUUUAUGUACUAGGCAGUAGAAUCGAGUUAAGAAAACGUUUAUGUUCGCUCCCUACUUUUGAAUACUUCCACCAAAUUUCUUUCAAGAGAUUUUGCACUUUGUAUCGAUCUUGAGAUGCGACAAAUCAUCUUGUGCGGAUCCACUCGUUUGCGUAGUGUUCGACAUAUAUCUUUGCAUAUUUGGAGUUCAUAUAGGCAGGCUAGUGAUGUUUUCUUCCUUAAUUUUGAAGUAGGACUUUGAAGUCCUAUUUCUGGACAUGUGAUUGAAUACAUUCAUUUCGAGACACCGUUUGCUCUGUCUAGUCCUCCGUUUACUGUCUAUGUUGAUGAUUAUGGAGCUCUUGCAGACGUUCUUUUCCCUGCCCAUCUGUUCGGAAAGUAGAUCACCAACCAUUUUGGUGUUCAUUACAAGGUGACAGGAAAGAUCACAAGUUGCGGUGCGAACUCGUAAAACAAGAGAACUGAGUAUUUCGUACCAAUAAAUGGACAGCUCGAUUAGACGAUUAGCAAACUGCGACACAAUAGGACAGAAAUGGAGAUUGGAUGGCCAUGUCUGCUCAUUGUUCAAUUACCCUUGUGGCCUUGUGGAGAUUACUAUAAGCAAGAUUUUCGAGCAACACAUGAAUGAUCUUCGAAAAUAUAAUGAGAUCCUACAGAGCAAACAUCACUUAUCAAUCGCCUUACAGUCUGAUGGUACUUGUGGUAGACCAUUGAUCGUUGAUUUAUCAAAUUUGGAUCUAGGUGUUACAUCUCACAUACAUUUACUAACACACAUGUAGUGUUUAAUGUUGUUGAAGUUGUUUAACCAGAUUACAAUUAUUGAUCAUUCACUUUAUCAAACAUAUCUCAUCCGAUCAUGCAGCUAAAUUUAUAAAAGGAAUACGAACGCACUGUCAAUAGAUUUAUAAAUUUGACCAUGAAAAUUUAAGUUUGAAUUUCUAUCCAUUUCUCCGGAAAUAUCUGAAUUUCAAAUGUUUUUCCACAACUUCCCUUUCAUACCCCGCUCAAAUUGUAGCCGUCAGAUCAGGUCGGAGCUGAAAUCAAUUGUAGCCGUCGGAUUUACCUAUCUGGACGAUCAGACCGAACCCUCUAUCUGAUCAUUAGCAUUUUCGGAGAUGCAGAGCAUAUAAAUAGCGGACUAUCACGGCAGUUUAUAAAUUCGUUCUCCAGAAUUUUAAAAUUUCGACAACUCAAAGUCAAAUCUUUCCCGCCAAAGUUCUCUGCGGUUUCUUCUUGAGCACUGUACAGCAAUUCUGCAACCCAAGGGCCUGAAGUUUGUUUCAUUUACUACUGGGAGAAUUUUUCAAUCGCACCCCGAGAAAUGGAGCAAUCGGCUGUCUCAAUUGUGUCCUUCUGCUGCUUCCUUCUCUGCUUCUCGAGCUUCGCGUCGGCCGGAGUGGAGAUUCUCUCCAAAUCAAAAGUUGAGAGGUGCGAGAAGGGAUCCGACGCCGGCGAACUCAACUGCACGAGAAAAGUCGUCCUCAACAUGGCAGUUCCAAGUGGCACCGUAAGUGACUCUUCCGUUACUUUUACGUACGAUGGGUUUGCCUGAUUGUCAAUCUGCUGAUCUGUAGAGUGGGAAAGAUUCCUCGAUCGUGGCGGAAAUAGUGGAAGUGGAGGAGAACUCCACCGACUACAUGCAAACGCUGCGAACGCCGCCUGUGAUAACGAUUAACAAAUCUUCUGCGUAUGCACUUUACCAGCUUACGUAUAUUAGAGUAUGAACUUCAGUGUUGGUUGGUUUCAUUGAAUUACUUUAGCCUUUCCACAAGUGAUGCUUUAAUUGACAUCUAAAUUCCUGUGUUGGGUUAUUAUUUCCAGGAUGUUGCUUACAAACCUGUUGAGUAUUAUGUUAAGACGCGCAAAUGUGAGCCAGAUGCUAAUGAACACGUCGUGCAGAUAUGCGAAAGGCCAGUAUUCUUAUCUUAGACUCAACUUGAAGUUACUGCCCUGGAUCCAUUCUUUGUUGCUUUUAUGGAUGUUAGGAUUGAAGUAGUUAUCUCUAUUUCCUUUCUGUCUGCAGAUUGCAAGAUGAAAAUGGUCGUGUUAUUCAGCAUUCGGAGGUGAAAGCUUUAAGUUUUUAUAUUUCCUUGACAGUCUUUUUUAUUGGUUUCAAGUUUUGAUCAGUGAGAUUCUAAUCUCUACUUGCUAUGUUCCCUCCUAUCAGCCAGUCUGCUGUCCUUGUGGGCCCCGUAGGCGAGUACCUUCAUCGUGCGGAAACUUCUGUAAGCACACUGUUUCCUUUAGGCAUCUCCAAAUAUAACAUGCACAAUGGACAUGUUCCAGUUUCCUGUGAUUGAUUGAGUUUUGAGCUUCCUUUUUCGAUGGUCAGUUGAUAAAUUGGUGAAAGGAAAGGCAAAUACAGCACACUGCGUCAGAUUUCCAGGUGAUUGGUAUGAUAUUUAGGCUGUGUCUUGUAUAUAUUUUCUGUUGUGCAUGGUAGCAAUCAUAUGUAUCUGAGUUAAUGCAGAGAACUAUCUUGUCUUCUUCUUUUAUGGUUGUGCAAUGAUCAUUCAGUUAUCUUGUUAUUGAUGAUAAAUAGUGAUAUUGGGAAUAACUCUACAAGGAAGCUGUGUGUUUUAACAUUACUACUCUUGCGCCUCUUUAGCUCUUAAUGUUGUUGACUUCAUUGCUGAAUGAAAGAAUUGUGCCAUAUUUGGUAUGUUGUCUUUGAUAUGGGUCAAAAUUGGUGCUCUUGCACGCACGAAUGCAUCGUGUCAGUAUCUUUUAAGUUCUGGUGACCUGUGAAAUCAGGAUAAGGAUAUGCUUUUAUUUUAUGGCGUUAUGUUUGCUUACUGUUGGGUUUCAUUUAUUUUAAAAUAUUUUUCUGAACUUGCAGAAGUCCCAUACUAUUAUGUUUCUGCUUAACUAUGCUGUCCGUUUAGGUUUCAUGUAUUUGGGAUUGGCCAGAGGUCAGUUGGAUUUAGUGUCAAAAUCGAAGUGAAGGUUGGAUCUACAAUCUCGGAAGUGAUUUUGGGCCCUGAAAAUAGAACAGCUACAUCAAAUGACAACUUUCUAAGAGUUAAUCUAAUUGGAGACUUUGUUGGGUAUUCUAGCAUUCCUUCAUUUGAAGACUUUUACCUUGUUCUUCCGAAGCAGGUAUGCAUUUUCGGAAUCUCGGUUCUUGCUUUCCUAUUGCUACAAUGUGUUUUUCGUUACUUUGUUGACUGUAUAUGCUGUAAUAUAUUACAGUUGAGAUUUAUCUUUGUUUGAAGGGGGAUUCUGGACAGCAAGAAAUGGGGAGGAAUUUUUCCAUGUGGAUGCUACUUGAAAGAGUUAGAUUUACCCUGGAUGGAGUUGAUUGCAAUAAAGUUGGAGUUAGUUAUGAGGCGUUCAUUGGACAAGCAGAUUUCUGUGCCUCACCAUUCUGGAGCUGCUUACAUAAUCAGCUAUGGAACUUCUGGAAUGUUAGUAUAUACUUCCGGCUUAGUUUUCAGUCUGAGUUCCAUUGGGUUUGGCCGUUUUUAUUUUUGGCCUUGUUAUUUGUUUCAACAUAGAAGUUUCAUCCUAUUCACUAAUUACAAAAUGAGUGAGGUGUUUCAUCUUAUUUCCAACAGGCUGAUCAAAACCGAAUAUCUAGAAAGCAGCCACCGCUGUAUGUUGUUGAAGGAAGGUUUGAAAGGGUAAAUGAGCAUCCAGUUAAGUCUCAGUCCUUGUAAUCGCUAUUCGCUUCUAUUCUUAGGAACUUUGACUUAGACUGUUUGAAUUCGACUUUAGAAUGCAGGCUCUCAUUCGUUCUCCAUCGGAAUCACUGAGGUUCUAAAUACAAACCUGUUGAUAGAACUAAGAGCAGAUGACAUCGAAUAUGUCUACCAAAGGUUCGCUUCUAGCCUUAUUUUACCAGAAUUGUGGACCUAUGCGUAGUUCUUCUUUUUGCCUCUUGUUGUUUCGUUAUCACAUUACAAUGUGUUUCUCCAUGAAGAUUCUAAUUUUGACUGUGAAGCCUAUUAGACCAUCAGACUGCUUAUGCUUGACACAUUGGGAAUUUUAUGAGUUUACUUGUCAGUAUAACAAUGCAAAUUCUGAUAGAUGCUACAUUUCUGAAGCUAUCGCCUUCUCGUAAAAGAAUGGUUUUCCUUUUUGUGUUCGAAGUUUCAUGGCUUCAUAUACUAUUUUAGAGGGUUUGAUGCCUGCAUUCAAUGCAGGAGCCCAGGGAAAAUUAUCGGGGUCACAGUUCCCACAUUCGAGGCCCUAUCACAAUUUGGAAUUGCGACAAUCACAGCUCAGAAUAUAGGGGAAGUGGAAGCAUCCUACAGUUUAACGGUUAGAAUGACAUGUUCUUCUCUUUAUGGUGUAAUAAGUAGUUGGUUUAAGAUAUUCUAGUUGCUACUGUGACAAAUUGCUCCAUCUUGCAGCUUCACUGCUCAAAAGGCGUUUCUCUUGUGGAGGUACCAGGUGUCAAAAGUUCAAUUAUGCUUCAUUCUUAGUAUCUUUGUAGGACAUAGUACGGUCAAUAGUUUUUAUAAAGAGCAUAAUUCAAGGGCGAAUGAUUACAGGAGCAAUUCUUCAUCAUGAAACCAAAUGACAUCGCUACUCAAUCAUUCAAAUUGUAUCCUACAACUGAUCAAGCUGCAAGUUAUGUUUGCUCAGGUAAUUUAGUACCAACGGUCUCCAUAUCCAAGCUCAAUUUUUAUCACGCAUACUAAUGUGGGUAGCAGAAUGUUGAAGGCUUAUUUUUGUACCUCUGCUGCAGCUAUUUUGAAGGACUCCAAUUUUAAUGAAGUGGAUCGAGCCGAUUGUCAAUUUUCUACAACAGCUACUACUAUUGACAAUGGGUCUCAGGUUUGUGAUUUUAUCCAGCAUGAACAUUCUCCAGCAUGAACAAUUGCUUAGAAUUAGGUAAAGACGAUGAUCUGUAUUUCAAAGUCAAUAAUGCUUCAGUUGCUUGCUUGUAUAUGGUUUAACAAAGAUGACUUCUAUUUAAAAGUUAGGAAUGGGUGAGAAAUUAGCGUGCUUAUUCAACAUACAAACGCAAAGAUCGUCCACACAGCAUCAAUGAAACACGAAAUGAACGAAUAAACUUGAUCACUCUGGUACUUGUACAUAUUUAAUUCUAACUAUAGAUGACUAUGUGCAUAUCCCUGUCAAUAUAUUGAUCAAUCUUAACCAAACCUGACAUACAUUGAUUGUUGUUAGUGUCUUGGUGAAAUGAAGCAAUUACUUGGAAUUUCCAUUGCAUUAUGAACAGUGAUUCAUUUAUGCUACUUUUGUAGAUUGGUCCUUUCAUGCCACCCAAUACAGGACAUUAUGGGUUCAUGGAAUUUUUUAGAACGCUGUGGAACAAACUGUGGGAAGCUCUGUCAGACUUCAUCACUGGAAAAACUUGCAGGUACAUGUAGUCUUUCACGCAUUUGCUUUGUUCGCGUUCGAUUCCUUAGCUAAUGCACUGUAUCAACGUAUUUCGCAGAAGCAAAUGCAGUGGCUUCUUUGAUUUCAGAUGCCACAUACAGUAUAUAUGCUUCAGCUGGAUGGCGAUGUUUGGUAUACUUCUAGCUAUUUUCCCAACAGGUAAAAUACAAUACGAUAUCUGUUUGAAUUGAGCAUUCAACAAGGUUCGGUUAUUCUUUGCACUAACAAGAACGAGAAAAUCCACUCAUGAUUGCAGUGCUCGUAUUAAUUUGGCUUCUACACCAGAAGGGCUUUUUCGACCCCUUUUACGACUGGUGGGAAGAUCACCUUGGCGAUCAGAAGCAUCGGAGACAUCACAGUAAUGCUAACCAUCACAUCCAUCACGGUACUAAAAAACACCACCACCACCAUGGAACCAGGCACCACCACAAACACGGGACAACACAUCAUCGACGAAGAACCGUCCAUGCUCACAAUAAGCACCCAGGAGCUGAUGAUGACUACUACUACUAUCAGCUUCACCAUGUCAACAAGGACCGCAAGAAGCAGCAUCAUCGAUCCAGGAAGACGAGCACUGUGCAGGAAUCCCGUUUCGGAGAAAUGGGAAAUGACAGGGCCGAGCAUCAUGGACACAGGGACAAAAGAAACCGUAGAGGGGAGUAGUUGAAGUCUUUGAGAGAUAGAACACUUAACGUAAACAACUAAACAUUCAAAGCAACUACGCCGACAUGUUCAAGAGAUUGUACGAAUUGUCAGCACAUUACACCGGAGCGAACAUCAAGGUAAACGCUCGCGACAAUCUUUCCUCCCGAACUCGGAUGUUUGGGCCAGCAUUAGGAGAUCCUUUAAAAAGUACUUAUCGAAAACCUCGAAAGGUAUCAUCAUGUCUUCGGACUCGAUCUCCAAACGUAACUUCUUCAGUUUCUCGAAAGGAGAAGGUUGAUGCUCUAUAAACUUCGAAAAACCAAGGACUACCUGCACAAAGUAGAAUCCAAAUCAAUAUAACAGAGCAAGUUCGCAUAUGCUAGAAAAGAAAGUAAACUCUUACACAUGUACUUACCUUGCUCAUAUCUUCAAAUAGAGUCGAUGAUUCGACGUUAUGUAAACCAUGGAACAGGGAUACGAGAUUUUCUUUGAUAACGUCUAAUUUUGUGUGCGGAAGUUUCGAGUAUUCGCAACGAAUAUCAGCAUAAAUGACGGACGGAAGGGUUAGCUCUGUGAACUCCACAUACCCCGGAUCGAAAUCCAAUCUGAAAAAUUUGAGUUCGGGUUCCUAACUUGCGCACACCAUUAUGCUUGAGUCUCAAGCUAACAAGCUCGAGUCCGGAAACCCUUAGAGAUAAAAUAAAUUUAUACAUUAAAUUUCGACUCAAUCAGUUGCUUAAUAAUAUAAAGCUUCAACUCAUUUAUAUAAUUUGAAAUUUUCUUAAAAAAUAAUUCAAUAACUAUAUUUUUUUACUAGAUUAUGAUAUUGAACUCUACAUAUACCAAUUUUCUCCGACUCAAUCAAAAAAUCUUCCGAUCCGACCCAAUUUAGCAAAUCCGGCCGAACCUUCAAACCCUGAACCACUAUCACCAGUUCAAUCUCCAGCCCGAUUUCGAACGCAUAAAAACACAGAGAACCGUGAGCUUGACUUCAGGUGUUACCUAAACCUCUACUAUCGACCAACUGCACAAUAUUCCAACCAUUCCUCUGAAUCACUAAAGAAACCCACCAACUCCAUCUUAUACAAACUCCCUAUAUCUACUCUUCCAAUAACCCCAUCCUUCAUGCAAAUCACAAUCAACUUUCUAACACAUAAAUUAAACCAAGAGAUUUCAGCACCUUAAUCCACACAUGGAGACCCUCAGGAUCCUCUUCUUCAUCAUGCUCACCGUUGCAUUCACAACCUCGGCCCGAAAGCUCGAUGAACAGCCGGUGGAGCCCGAAUCCCCACUGGCUGCCCCACCCGGUCCUCAGUCCCGUUCUCCAAACCCAACGGAGCGGUCCUCCCGGUCAACAACGGAGUCAACCAAAACAACAACAACAACGGAGUCCUGAACAACAACAACUUGCCAUUCCUCACCGGCCUCGGCGGGACCACCGCCAAUGUGAUACAGAACAACAACAAUGGAAACAACAACGGGUUCAACAAUUUCCCGGCUUCCAUCAACGGAGGCCAGCUCCCGACAGGCUCGGCCCUGGGGCAGCUGAUGUUCGGGACAAUAACAGUGAUCGACGAUGAGCUCACGGAAGGGCAUGAAUUGGGGUCUCCUCUUGUGGGGAAAGCACAAGGGUACUACGUGGCCAGUUCGAUUGAUGGGAAUAGUCAGGCCAUGGCGUUUACGGCCAUGUUCCAUAGCGGUCACUAUGAAGAUAGUCUAAACUUCUUCGGAGUUCAUAGGGCCGGUGUGUCGGAAUCUCAGCUUGCUGUAAUGGGCGGGACGGGGAAGUAUGUGAAUGCUAAGGGACAUGCUGUGGUGAAGACCAUCCUUCCUGGUGCAGGUGGAAUUGGAAACCAGCAUGAAACUGAUGGGUUUGAGACUUUGCUGGAGUUUACUGUUUAUGUUGCAUACUGAAAAUCUUGUGCUUGAAGUAAUUGAUGUUGUGGUUCCUUUGUAUUAAACAGAGCAUUUGGUUUGUAAUGAUAUGCAUACUUUUGAGUUUGGUUUGGUGUGAUUGAGAAACUCCAAAUCGAAGCACCGUUCCAAUAAUCUCAAAUUCCAUCUGAACAGUCUAACAAAAUUAAUUUCGAUCUAACAGCUGAAAAUAUAGAGACAAAAAGGUGAUUUCUUCACGACCCUAGCUGCUGUCUCCCCCGCCGCUCAUGCAAACAUAAAACAUCCAUACAAACUCCCUUACAAAUACCCGUAGACAACAAGUUGUCCCGACGAUCGUCUAACUUUUUUCUAGAAGAAAAAAAAAUUCAGCCGACGACGGUGAUCACUUUAGUGAAAACAAUUUGAUGAUAUGUAAUUAACAAGAUUAAAUAGUAACAGUUCUGAUGGCAGACACCAUGGACUUCUUUGUAUUGUUGAGCUCUGCAAUCUUAGCUUCAACUACUUAUAAAAUAAAAUAAAAAUUCUUAGCUUCAACUCUUAAGCAUCUCUUCAGCUAUUGUAAACUAAUUAGCUCCACGCCCAGUAACAAUACCAUAUCAUAAGAAUUCAAAUAAUAUCUAUCUCCCCAAUAUUCAUCUUCCUCCUCAAGAAUCUGGAUGUUUAGGGAAGCAUCAGAAGAUCCAUUAAGAAAAUAAUCCUCCAAGACCUCGUGAGGUAUACUGUAGUUGGAGCGAAACUCGAUAUUUAACUUCUUCAGCUUCGUAAAGGGACAAGGGUGUUGCUCUAGAAACUUGGAAGUUCUAUCGACCACCUGCAGAAAGUAGAAUCCAAAUGAAUAUAACGAAAACAAGUCCACAUCUGCUAGAAAAAAAAACUGGAAAACUAAAUCUUACAGAUGUACUUACAUUGCAGAUAUCGCCACGCAGCGACAAAGAUUCCACGUUAUGCAAACCAUGGAACAUGGAAACCAGAGACUCUAUGUCAAUAUCAUAACGCUCGUACAUAGAACGCCAAUAACUACUUCGAAUAUCAGCAUGAACGAGUGAAGGAACAGUUAGCUCUGAGAAUUCCAUGUAUUUGUCCAAAUACAGCCCGAAAGAUUCAAGUUUGGGUGCAAAUAUUUCUAACUUGCACACAUUAAUAUCUGAGAGCGUCAAGUUAACCAGCUCGAGUCCAGAUACCCUCAAUCUCACAGUUUCGUCGUUAGCCAUGAAACCUUCACUAACCCUCUUCCACAAGCAACUAUUCAAGACCAAAUCACUGAGACAGGGGAGUUGAGAAAAGGGCUCAAAGAGUUCCCCAUCUUCCGAGACAGAGAACCGAGUACCAUAUAGCUUUAACAUUGUUAGCGACCGGAAUGCAGACCAAUCAGAUUGGAAAUUGAGGUGAAGCCAUCCCAAUUGUAGAGUUGUUACAGUGUCGCAGAUGUUAUCAAACAACUUGACAAGAGAGAUAUCGGGUGCAAUACGAUUAAUGGGUCGAAUGUUGAAAUGUUGAGCACCAUGGGACAAAGCAUACUGGACAACCCUUUUGAGCAGACUAAACUCGCAACCAAUAGGACCGAUAGAGACAGUGCUAACAGGAACGGGAUGGCGAAGGAACAAGACUUUGUCAACAAAUUUUUCGUACCUUGAGUAUUCGUUGAAGUAAACGUUCUGCAGAUUGAGAGACUGAACAUGUUUCCAGGCAGAUUCCCACUGCUUGGACAGUACACAAGUUUGAACGGCGGAUUUAGUGUCGAGAAAGGAGAGGAUGUGGUGAUGAAUGGAGCCUGGGAGAUUGCUUAUCCUAUCAACUCCUUCUCCGGCUGCCAUCCCUAGCUGAAAACACUGUAUUUGUGAGAUGAAAUGGAAAGAGAUCAGAAACAGAGACUAUAUAGCAGGGCAGCGAAUCUGAAAUCGUUAUCUCGCUUUUAAUGGAGUUUAUGAAUUUGUUGGUCAAGUCCAAUGACUGCUUGCAUGACGACAGUUCACAUUACCUUAUUGGGGGUUUAGAUCUUCGAUUAAAUUUCAUUGAUUGAGUUUCAACCAAUGAAAUAAAAAGAAGAACGGUUACAAUCUCUGAUACUACGUCAUAUUGCAACGCUAAUGUGUUAGAAAGGUAUAUAACAACUUAGCCACUUACUGCAAUCCUAUUAAGGAAGGUCUAUUCAGUCCAUCCUAACUUCUGAACAACACAUUGAAACAACUUCAUUGUUCCUGGAAAGGAAAAGGUCCAUGCCCACUUGACCAGCUUCAUGUCUUGGUUGAGCAUCAAAACCAUAUGAUGAUUCUAAAGAGUAAAGAGUGCAUCCAUGAUGCAGAAGCAGGGACAACACAUACCUGCAAACAAACAUAGGCCAUCACAGUUGCAUAGUACAAGUUUACAUCAUCUAAUUAUCUACCACAGCUUAUGAAAUUUUGAUAUAUCUGUUAUUGACAACUUCCUUCUGAAAGAGAGAUGGCAUCGUUAUACAAACAAACAGAACAAGAAUUCGGUGGGUUAAAAUAAACCAGAUGAAAACUCUCCAAACUGAGUCGAUUUCAGAAACAACAAAAAGAGCAUUGCAUUACAUUACAUCCAUGGAAUACCAAGAAUAAAAAGCAUGGUAUGUAAUUAAAUUAACAAGUAACAGUUCUGAUAUAGAGAUGGUAAAGAUUAGCAGAAAAGUCUUCUGGAACAAUCUGCUUGCAGGACGAAAGAGAACAUCACAAAUCACAAUCCUUCCUCCCCAAUCUCGAUAUGUAGGCCAGCAUUAGAAGAUACGUUAUUGAAGUAACUAUCCAAAACCUUAUAAGGUAUGUCAUCGCUGGACUCAAACUCCAGAUUCAACUUCUUCAGUUUCGUGAAAGGACAAGCUUGUUGCUCUAGAAACUUUGACAUCUUACGGACAGCCUGCACAAAGUAGAGCCUAACUCAAUAUAUAAACAAGAUCCUAGUCACAGUACAUCUUCUAGUAGUAGUAAAGCAUACAGAAGAGCAUACCUCGCUGAUUUCCUUGCCUAGCAUCAGAAAUUCCACGUUAUGUAGACCACGGAACAUGACGACUAGAUGUUCCACGACAAUAUCAUCAUCCUCGUCGAGAAGGUGCUCAAAACGGAAUCCGACAUCAGCACAAACGAGGGACGGGAGGGUUAGCUCUGAGAAUUCCGUAAAUUCCACAAAACAGAACACCAAAGAUUCGAGUUUAGGUGCAAAUAGUUCAAAGCUCCACACAUUCAUACGAGUAAUUGUCAAGUUAACCAGCUCGACUCCGGAAAUCCUCAAUCUCCUAAUUUGGUUAUCAUCUUCACUUACCAACCACAAGCAAUUAUCCAAGAACAAAUCUUUCAGACAAGGAAAUUGAGAAAAUGGCUCGAUCAGCACGUCUUCAGUUGAGAACCAACAAUCAUACAGCUUUAAAGUAGUCAGCAACCCGAAUGCAGAACGUGCAGGCUGACAAUCGAGGUUAAACCGUACCAAUUCUAGACUUCUUACGGUAUCAGAGAUCGAGUUAAACAAUUCGAAUAGAGGGAUGUACAAAUUAACCCUCAGUCGAACGUUGAAAUCUUGAGCACCAUGGGACACAGCAUAUAGAAAGAGCCUUCUGAGCAGGCUAAAUUCAUCAUCAGGAGCGACAGGGCACGCACCCAGGUUCCACAAUAGCAAAACCUUGCUGACAUGAAGGGGACGGCGGAGGGACAAGACAUUAUCCACAAACCUUUCAUACCUCGAAUAUUCAUUGAAGUUCAGCUCCAGAUUGAGGGAAUGAACAUGUUUCCAGGCCGAUUCCCACUGCUUAGACAAUACGGAAGUUUGAACGGCGGAUUUGGUGUCGAUGAAGGAUAGGAUGUGAUGAAGAAUGGAGUCAGGGAGAUUACUUAUUCUGUCGACUCCACCGGCAACCCCUAACUGUUUGCCGCCACGUCUCUUGUUCUUCUUCUUCUUGUUCAUAGCUCUCGAAACCCUGAGAGAGAAAAAAUGGUAAGGACGAUGAAACAUAAAGGCAAUGAGCUAAAGAAAUAUAAAGCCAGAGGGAGAAAGACAAAAUUACAGAAAUGUCAAUGGGCCGGGUCGGGAAAGUUAGCCAUUUAGGACUCGACACUCAAUCCGCCGUUAAGACUUGUGCAUUGUCCAAGCAGUGGGAAUCAGCCUGGAAACAUGUUCAUACUCUGAAUCUUGAGCUGAAAUUCGAAGAAUACUCGUGGUACGUAAUGUUUGUCGACAAAGUCUUGUCCCUUCGCCAUCCCCUUGCUGUCAGCAAGGUUUUAUGGCACCCAUAUGACUACUCUUACGGUCCUAUUGGUACCGAGUUUAGUCUGCUCAGAAGGGUCGUCCAAUAUGCAGUGUCUCAUGGUGCUCAACAUUUCGACCUAGAACCCAGAUGUGAAUGUAAACCCAAUAUCCCUCUUUUCGGAUUGUUUGACUCCCUUUCUGGCACCGUAACAAGUCUGAAAUUAUUACGGUUUGACUUCUAUUGUCAACCUGAAUGUUCUGGAUUCCGGUUGCUAACAACCUUAAAGCUGCAAUGUUGUUGUCUCUCAGCCGACGGAGAGCUCGUUGAGCCCUUUUCUCAAUUUCCCUGUCUUAAGGAUUUGGUUUUGCUUGAUUGCUGGUGGGUACGUAAAGGUGAUGAUUACAGACCUGUGAGAUUGAUGGUUUUCGGACUCUAGUUGGACAGGUUGAGCUUCUUAAAUAUGCAUGUCUGGGAGUUGGAAAUGUUAGCACCGAAACUCAAAUAUUUCAAAUUGAUAUCUGGGGAAUCAUGGAGUUUCCAGCAGAGCUAACUCUUCCGUCUCUUGUUCAUGCUGAUAUUAAAAGCCAACACUGGAACUCUUGCUUCGAGGAAUAUGAUGUAGUCAAAGAAACUCUAGUAUCCAUGUUCCGUGAUUUACAUAACGUGGAAUCUUUGACGCUAUGUGACGAUAUGAGCAAGGGAAGUACAUGUGUAAGAUUUACUUUUUCUAGCAUAUGUGAACUUGCUCUGCUGUAUACUGAUUUGGAUUCUACUUUGUGCAGGCACGCCUUAGAAGUUCCAAGUUUCUAGAGCAACAACCUUAUCCUUUUAAACAACUGAAGAAGUCAAUUUUGGAGGCCGUGUCCUCCGUAGACGAGAUACCUUACAAGGUCUUUGAUAAUUACUUCUUUAACGGAUCUUCUGAUGCUGGUCUAAACACUCGGAAGAAAAGAUUGUGGCGGCAAGUAACGAUUGAGCGUUUGGCUUCAUGUACACUCUUUUCUCCUGCAAACAGAUUGCUCUGGAACACCUUUGUGCUAAUCAUGACUGUCUUUAGCGUUUAGAGUAGAAGUUAUAUGUGGAGCUUAGGUGUAAUAUGAUCACUAUUCGUGCAAUCUCUUGAACAUGUUGGCCUAGAUGUUUUGAAUGCUUUUAUGGUAUGAUAUUGUCGACCUAUGCUGGUUUUUUGUUAACUUGCUGAGUUCUUUCUCUGCUCUUUUACCACGGUGCGGUGCCAUCUUCAGAAAGAAGUUUCAGAUAGUGGCCCUUAACUUCUCUCAUUCCCAGUGUUAGAAUCUUGCUAAGUUCAGUUUACCAAUUACAACAUAUCGACGAAAGGCACCAACUUGCUGCAUAUCCAUCUUUUGCAGUCAGUAAGAAACCAAUUUUUCAGCUUUGCUUUUCAAGCUUUGGGCCGAGCUUCGUCAGCUUCCUAUCGUGGUUGAGCAUGGAGCUUACACUCUCGACCACCAAAACAAUCAUGGAGCUUACCCGGAUUCAAAUCCCUGCUGGUGCAUUACAUUUCAUUCUAAAUCCGUCAUGUUUCGAGAUGCGAGUGACUCUUCUUCACAGAAGUCUCAUUUCUUUCUAACCUGUGUACUUUCUUUCGACUAUGGGAUUGGUUACUAUCGAUUAUGGGUAGACCGGAUCUUAAGCAAAGUUCUGUGAGAAUGUAUGAUGAAAUUAACUUCUGUGAAUGAUUGGAAUAAAAAGAAUGAAGUUGAGGAUUAAAUAUUCAUAUCUAAAACAUUUGAGGAGCAAUUGGUAUAAAUUACCUCACAAUCCGCACUUACACUGAACAGUGAACAGUCUUUCCGAUUGAAAAACCUCCAUUAAAGCGAUCGAGCGAGGACGGGGAAACGAUGUUCAUCAUCGUGCUUGUGACAUUGCAAAACGGUAAUUAAAGACUCGCGCUUUGUUUCUUUCAACUCUGUUAUUUUCUUGCCACAUUUCUCUUUCUCAGUCUUUCAUUUCUUCUCCUAGGGAUUUGAGAGCUGUGAACAAGAAACAGAGGAGCAUUAACAGCAGCGAUCUAGGGAUGGAAGCCGGAGGAGGAGUUGACAGACUAAGCAAUCUGCCAGAAUCAAUUAUUCACCACAUCCUAUCAUUCCUCGACACAGAAUCCGCAGUUAAAACUUGUGUAUUGUCCAAGCAGUGGGAAUCCACCUGGAAAAAUGUUCAUACUCUGAAUCUGAAUCUGAGCUUCAUAGAAUACUCGAGGUGCGAAAGGUUAGUCGCCAAUGUCUUGUCCCUCCGCUAUCCCCUUCAUGUCAGCAAGGUUUUAUGGCUCACAAAUAUGCGGUGUGCCGGUCGUGAUGAGUCUGAGUUUAGUCUGCUCAGAAAGGUUGUCCAAUAUGCGGUGUCCCAUGGUGCUCAACAUUUCGACCUACGACCCUAUUCAGAUAAUCCCCAUAUCCCUCUUUUCGAAUUGUUUGAUGACUCCAUCUCUGACUCUGUAACAAGUCUGGAAUUAUCAUGGUUUUGCAUCUAUUGUGAACCUGAAUGGUCUCGUCAGUUCCGGUUGCUAACAACCUUAAAGCUGCAACGUUGCAUUCUCCCAGCGCAGGAUGGGGAGCUCGUUAAGCCUUUUUCGCAAUUCCCAUGUCUCAAAGAUUUGUUCUUGGAUAUUAUCGAGUUUGUAAGUGAUGACCGCCUACCUGUUAGAUUGAGGGUUUCUGGACUCGAGCUGGUUAACUUGACAUUCUCAAAUGUUAAUGUGUGCAAGUUAGAGAUAUUUGCACCCAAACUCAAAUCUCUGAGAUUGGUAGACGUUGGGGAGUUCUUAGAGCUAACGCUUCCCUCCCUUGUUCAUGCUGAUAUUCGAGAAUGUUGUUUGAACUUUACCAGAGGGAAUGUUUAUGUUCAUAAAAAAUCUGUGAUCAUCAUGUUUCAUGGUCUACAUAACGUAGAAUCUCUGACGCUGUGUCACGAUAUGAGCAAGGUAAGUUAUGAUUUACUUUUCUCUAGCAGAUGCGGUGAUCUUGUUCUGUUAUAUUGAUUUGGAUUCUACUUUCUGCAGGAAAUCCUUGGAAUUUCCAAAUUUCUAGAGCAACAACCUUGUCCUUUUAAAAGAUUGAAGAAGUUAAAUUUGGAGCUGGCGUCCUUAGACGAGAUACCUUACGAAGUCUUGGAUAAUUACUUCUUUGACGGAUCUUCUGAUGCUGGUCUAAUCAUCCAGACACUGAAACAAGGAUUCUUCUGGCAAGUAAUGGUUGAGCGUUUGCCCUGAUGUACUGGAAGACCUUUGUGCUAAUCCUUGCUGUGUUCAGAGUAGAAGUUGCAUGUGGAACUUAGAUGUAACAUGAUUAGAAUUCGUACAAUCUCUUGAACAUGUUGGCAAAUGGCCUAGCUAUAUUGAAUGUUUAUGGUAUGACAUGUGGAAUUACAGCGCCAAUGUAUUACAAAGGUAGUCACAACUACAACAUAUCGAUGAAAGGCACCAACUUGCUGCAAAUCAUAUCAGGUCUAGUCUAUUCAGUUCAUCCCAACUUCUGAACAACACAUUGAAAAAUAACAUUUUUUUCCAGUCAGUAAGAAACCAAUCCACGCUCUUGAUCAUUUGAUGCUUCAAAGUACAUGAGUUUCAGCUUUGCUUUUCAAGCUUUGAGGUAGAGAGCUUCGUCAGCUUCCUGUCGUGGUUGAGCAUGGAGCUUACACUCUCAACCACCAAAACAAUCUGAAGAAUAUCGACAAGUGCAAAGCAUAAACAUCUCCUUUUACGUCUACGGGCGGAAUAAACCAUCUGAUGCAGAAACAGAGAUAUGAUGUACCUGAAAGCAAGCGUAGGCCAUUGCCGUUGCAUAGUAGAAGUUUGCAUUGCCAGUGCCCUGCAUGUUUUGUUACAUGAACCAACAUUCAUAAUGUAGAACUAUAUCGAUAACUUUGGGUGAUGCAACGAACUGAGGUUAUCGUACCCUCCAAAUCCAAAGAUUAUGCAUCACUGGGCUAAGUAAGGACACUCCAACGUAUCCGCAGAAGAGGAAGAAAGAAAACUGCAUAUCUGUGCAACAUAUGUAGACAAGGUAUAAGAAAAAAGGUUAUACCUUUCAAAAGUAACGAGAAAUAUGAGAGGAUCUUACCAGCUAAUUCAUCCAGAAACAAUCCCAAGAGGCCUAAAUACAGAGCCGAAUCUCCAACCUGGUGAAAAUUUAGUGAACAAGGCGUUAUCAAUUUGUUAAACUAGAUUCUCAGUAAUCAUGGCUUGCCGGCCCAUCGAAAUCUACAACACAAGCAACUGGACAACCCUGAUGCUUUUCUUGCCAAUUUUUUCGAUAAAUGGAAAGGAUAUGGAACACUAUCAUACGCACAAACGAAAGGGUGACAAAAGCAUACGUUUUAAACAUACUGUAGAGAAGAAAAAGACUGGGUGCCAGAUCACUUACUGAAGGAUAUGACUUAAGCAUUGAAGAAAUGGCAAUGUAGAUGAAAGCAAGGAAGCAAGGUCGGUGCUUUAGCCGUAUUGCCAAUGGGAUUAUCAUGAACAAAAUAUUUGAAUGGAAAACGAUCAGGAAGAAAUCUCGGAAGAAGUCGAAAACUUCUGCAAAGAAGUACCUGCAUCAGAAUCAGUUGCAUUAUAAAGUGCAUAAAGAAACAGAUCCCAGUAAGUUUCCCAGAUUUAGUGCAGAGGAAAACAACAAGCAAUAUGGACUCACCACAAAACACCGAUAUUUGGGGACAGAUCUUCCACAGUAAGUAUGAAUCCAUAAGUUCUGCAAACCAGAGACAAAUUUAGAAACUCAUUGGAACAGUUCACAUACUACAGUCCAGUUGUUUUUAGGAACAUGUAAUAUAAUCCUACUAGUGUAGUACAUUUCAUGAUUAUCUACCACAGCGACAGGGUGAGCGGCUUGAAAAAUUCAAACAAUAAUAGAACAUUCUCAUGACCUGAUGGUGUUUUACUCCAUAGAAACUGAUAUAACAUUGCUUGCAAGUGCAGAACUAAUAAGGGAAACAUAGCACAAGUCCAGUGAGUAAUCUAGCCACAUGAUACAGAAAACCAAUAUAUUUUUAUGAGCACCUUUGAAACAUUUCCUGCAGACUGCCGUAUUGCUUGACAGAUAUACUGCAUAGGAACAACACAUAUGCUGACCAAAGUGAAGUCCAGACUAACAAAUGCAACACUCUUCUCCAAGAAAAGAUGAUUUCUUCCUCUGAUUGAUAGUUUCCAGCUUUACCAUAUUCCUUACAUCGGAACAACUUACUAGGAGGAGCAUCUGGACCAUAUCCCAGCAAGAGAAUCACCUGUAGCCACAGAAAACCAUACAGAUAGCAAACUUACAUCCAUAAACGAAGUUAUGUAAAGGGAAAAAAAAGGGGCAAGAAUCUGAAUAGAAGAGGUUUACCGGUAUGAUUAGAACCACAGGAUACAAGGACAAAUGAGUUGCGAUGACCCAACCGAAAGCUGCUAGAGGUGCUAGCCCUGUACGCAUCAAAACAACACUGUUUUCAGUCAUAAGUACGAGUACCUUCUCCGAAACAAUAAAAAUAUAUCAUGUGAUCAUUCACCGGCGCAGUUUCCUAAUUCUACGAACUCAACAAAGGAAAGAAUAAUAACUGAAAUGAACUCAAGUUAAAAUUAAGAAUUGGCAAUCUCACCUGCAGCGGCUCCAAAAAGAGUCAGUAUGGUAAAAAGAUUUUCUAUAGGAGAUGUCGAUGAGCCCACGCAGGCAACAAUUGUGAAAGGACUCCAUAAGUACACCAGAGCAGCUAUAUCUCCAGAAGAAUGUGUGCCUGGAGGGAAAGUCAGCGUCACAUCUCAAAUCAAUGUUAUCAGGUCGAUAAAUGCAAAAGUUGAGAUCUUCAGCCAAAAGACGAGCCUCUAGAAAAGUCAACAUGUCCAUUUUCAGUACAAUGACUUCAUAAUCUUUUUUAAUCUACCUUGUAUUAUCGGAAAAACUACCAGCAAGUAGUUUCACGAGAAAAAUGGAAGGGCUUUUCAACGAUAGGAUACCUGAAUCUGUGGAUUUAGUAAGCAGAUUAAGUGACGACAAGUGUUUCCUAUAUGACAUCUGUAGUUUCUGACCAGUAGCACGGAUGAGAAUAGCACUGAUUAAGUCUGCAAGGACAAAAACCAAACUGUAUCCAACUGUAAGAAUGAAGGGGAUUAAGGGAGGUAACAGAAGCAUAAAUUUACUACCAAAAACGUUUAAACUAACACAAACCAAAAUGAUCUUUAAAGUGAAUAGAUCGACAGUGUAGAUUAAUAUAUGAUCACAAGUGUGCUAGUACCAGAAUGGAAAUUGCAAGGGAAUUACCUGCACAGAAUGUGACUGGGCUGGCCUUCGAUUCUGUAAUGGAAACCGAGUUCAUCAGGAUAAUUGCACCUCCCAAAACAAGGAUUCAAGUUGAACAAACAAUUAUUCACAAUAUGAUAGUAAUAUAGCAGUAUAUAAGGAGGUAGGGGUUAUGAAUGCUUCCUAAUCAAGUACCUAGAUUCAAUGUAAAAUCACACAAAUUUGAAUUUUACAGAUACACUUAUCAGAAAAGAGGAUACCUUUUGACAGUAAGAGGCCCGAGAAGAGAGAGCAACAAUGGAGAACCAUGGUACAUGGAUCCUACAAGCACAAAACUAAGAAAAAAAUCAACAAACCAUAUAAUUCUGCUUACACUAAUACCCAAUCCCAACAACUUCCAGAACAUUUCGUCACCAGUAAGGAUUAACAGUGAGCUCAACCAAAAACCUACCUGCAUAAGGAGACAUCGACGAUUGCUUCAACCAGUACCCCUCUGCCACUGCAAUCAAUAAAUCCAUAUUCAAAUGUUAACAGAAGCGACUAUAGAUCGAGAGAUAGAGGGAGAGGGAAAGUACGGCGGCGAAGGGAGGUGAGAGGAGUGGAGACUUCCGGGCGAGAAGACAAGUUGAGAUUUCCUGGGAAGUAAAUGAGGAUCAGUCGGAAGAUCACGGCGAACACUGCCCAUUUCCAGAAACCUCCUCCUCCUCCUCCUUCUACUCCUCCACCACCUCCCGCUUCGUGGGGUUUCAUUUUGCUUUCCUCUUCUGUAUUAGCCGUCGCCAUUUUGCUUAGCUUCGGCGCCGGUGAGUGAGUGAGCAGCUCUGAGCUGAGAGUCGAGAUUAGUAAGCAGCCGCCGGCUAAGAUUGUUUGCCGUAUUUUUUUUCCGCAACUCAAAUAAUGGGCUUGGGCCUCGAUAGGCCCAACAUUUGUACCGCUGAAUUACCUGAAGGUCAAUAUUGUCGGCCUGUCGGGCUCGUAUAUAUUAAUUUAUGAGUGUUGGUAGGCUUGUCGAUUCUUUAACUAGUUAAUCGAUUAUAAUUUUAUUAAGUUUGACGAUUAUUAAUUAUUGAUUGGAUAUUUUGAAGGUGAUGAUUAUAAUCAUUAAAAAUUAAGAAUAAAUAUAAAUUUUAUAAUAAUCGCACCAUUACCGUAAUAAUGUCCACAUAUUUAUUAUAGCAAUUAAACAUGUAAUUUUAACAAAAAUAAAGUACUUAUGAACUCCUUCAAUCCAAUUCAAAUAAUAAAAUACAUAACCAAACUCUGUGAAACAAAAAGAGAAAAUAAAAGGACAAAAAAUACAUUACUUGUUCGGUUGCUUUCUGACGAGGAAACAAAACCAAAAAAUCAUCACCGUCGUUCCAAGAGAAAAUUCUCUCUCGAUUCUCAAGCAAUGGCGACUCCCGAACAGGAAGCAAUCAACACAUUCAUCAGCAUCACCGGCGCCACCGAAUCCGUCGCCGUCCAGAGACUCCGGGUCGGUUACCCCUUCUAUCUUCUCCUUCCGUUUUUGCCUUACCCUUCAGCUUUCUAGAUAAUUCCAUCGGCGGCCAGUUUGGGAAUUGACGGGAGUUCGGGGGUUCGUCGGCGAACUUGGUUUUGCCGCUGUUUGAGUUGGUUGGUUUCGUUUACGUGGAUGUUGAUUAGGGUUUCUGCUUUCGUUAGUAUUGACCAUUGAGAGUUGAGAGGCGAUGGAUUCUGGUGCGGGAUUAGUAAAGUUAGAUGAUUUAUUCUUCUCUGGAUUAGUUUGAUUGUUGAUUGUGCUCAGCUGGAAUUGAUCGAAGUUUGUAACUUUCUGGACAAGUUAGCAAAAAAAAAUGAUCAUCUGAUUUUUGUGUCGAUUGCUUACCAUUGGGGAUUAAAGCAUGGAUCUAGUGAACUAUGCGAUGAAUUGAUACAUUCCUCUGAUGACUUCAUGCCUGUGUUUCUGGUUGAAUUCGAAAGCAAUUAUUCAGUCCACGAUUCUAAAGAUCUUUGAUGGUCUGCGAGUAUUCUAUUGAACUUGCUGGCCUUGUCACCUAAUUUGUAAAUUGAUUUGAAGAACUCUACUUGUUGUCUUGCCUUACGAGGAGUCCCAUUCGAUCAAGGAAAAAACCUUCCUGCUUGGAACAAUUCGAACCUUUAGGGCGUAGUGACAUUGAAAAAGUUCAGAUUGAAUGGAUCGAGCAGAUCACUUUAAUUAUUGAGAUUUGAUUCGAUCAUUUGAAUUUAUAAGUUGCGGCAUUGCUGCUAUAAAUUGCUUACUGAAGUGUCUAAUUUCCGUACUUGUUUGUCUUUGUGUUAGCAUGAAGCUGUGUUGUUCUAUCUUAUGUGUUGUAGACUGUAGUUCACCAUUUUGGGUUUAAAGGUUUCUAUUUUAAGGCUGCGGUAGAUACUAAAGUUUACAUACGCUGAUUGCAUUGGACUAAAGUAUCAUCCAUCUUCUCUGAUUCAGGAACAUAGGGGUGAUCUCAAUGCCGCUGUCAAUGCACAUUUCACUGAAGGAGACAGAAGCAGGUAGUUAUGUGUUUUUUUUCCUUCUUGUUUCAUUGCUUUCAUUCCUCUACUCAAUCUUGCACAUUUCAAGUCUCUUUUCCCGGUGUUCAGCUUGAACCCUCCAUCUGUUCCUCCUCAUGAAGAUGACAUCAUGGAUAUAGAUGAUCCAAUCGAAACUGCGCCCCCGAGAAAUCCCUUGUCUCUUCUGGCUGAUCCAGCUGUUGUAAACCCAUUUUCACUUCUCGAUCCGCAAUUCCGUAGAAGCUUCUUCGAGGGCGGUUCGGAUUUUAUGAACCGCGGACCAUUUGUUACUCCACCAAGACAGGUGAGAGAGAUACCCAUAGAGAUCAAGGACACCCCUAAUGCUUCUGGCCGUUCUGGUCAUGGUCCUGUUAUCGAGGAUGUUACUGGAACUGACUAUGCUCAUGAAUCUGGCAUCCGUGGGACUGUAAUUGUUAGCGACGAUGAAGAAGAUAAUGGCGAUGUCAUUCUUCCCAGCCUUAAUACAACUGCUGCUCGACAAGAUGACCAAGAUAUAGAUGGUUUAGGUGGCGCUUCUAAUGAUAUGCCAAGGCCUAGUGCACCAUUACCUGAUAGCUCACUGGAAUAUGGCAAUGACAUAGAAGAAGAGAUGGUUAGGGCAGCCAUUGAGGCUUCGAAACGUGAGGCUGAGGUAAAGAUAAUGGUGAUGUUAUUCCUCGCAGCCUUAUUAGUUCAGUGACCAUGAAUUGGAACAUGAGUUUUCAUUUUCCUUGAACUUUUCGGUGUUCUUGUCAUGUUGCAUAUAGCUCUAAUGAACAUGCGGUGUAUUUGUCUUAUGCACGAGUACUCCAGUUGGCAGAGCAAGAGAAGGCAUUACGUGAGCGUAAGGGAAAAGUUGGAGUAUCGGAAAUAGGAGCAUCUGAGCCUGAGAAUGUAAUUGCACCUUCCAAUGGAGGGUAUGUGUCGUGCCAAUUCCCCUUUACAUUCUUAUGUCUGUAGCAAUAUCUUGAAAUGGAAGCAAAAGUUGAUUCUCGCCGAUUGUUAGGGAAGUAAAUUGAUCGUUUUUUCUGGACAUGGUAUAGGUUAGAAAAAGGUGGAUCAUUUAUCGAGGAUGAAGUUGAAGAUGUGGAGGAACAGCCACUGGUCAGUCGGAGAUCGAGAAAUGCAUCUUCAAGCUCUAUGGAAUCUGCCAAAGAUGUAGCUACUGAGUCCGACCUGCCAUCAAGUCCCAUAGACAACAAUCCCAACAGUGAAACACAGACAAAUGGGAAUGCUUUCCCUGAGGAGGUAAAAACUCUAAGUGGGAUGUGUCAAAUAGUACUUCAGACUUCUCUUUAUAUACACACAAUUUUACCUAUACUUGUACGUUUUAGUGGGGUGGCAUUUCGUCCGAGGAGCACGAUGAGGCAGUGAUGCUUGAGGCAGCCAUGUUUGGGGGAGUGCCUGAGGGGUCCGGAUAUCAGUUCCCUUAUGCACCUCAUCAAUUCAUGCAAAGAGAAAGCCCUUACCCUAGGCCAGCACCACGUCCUCCAUCUCCCUCUUUAGAAGCCCAACGUUUGAUCCGUGAACAACAGGUUUUAGUUUGAUAUAUAUAUAUAUAUAUAUAAAGUUCAAUCUACAAUCACCAAUGUCUUAGAACUAACCGGUUUUGGUUGGUGGUGCAGGAUGAUGAGUACCUUGCUUCAUUGGCUGCUGAUAGAGAGAAAGAGAUGAAGGCCCUGGAGGAAGUUGAAGCUCGGCGUUUGCAAGAAGAAGCAGCCAGGGAAGCUGCUCUUGAAGAAGAAAAACUGAAAGAGGAAGAAUGCCGCAGGAAGUUGGAGGAAGAGCAGGUAAUGUUGUAAACUUGAUACUUAAUCUCUUCAAGUCAAAUGAGUUUGCUGUUCUGGAGACUGAAAAUUAUCAUUCUUUCACAGGAAAUGGAGAGGCAGUUAGCUGCAAAAGAAGCUUCACUACCUCAAGAGCCAACUCCGGAUGAAGAGAAUGCUGUAACACUUUUGGUGCGCAUGCCUGAUGGCACGCGCCAUGGCCGCCGGUUUCUCAAGUCUGACCGCUUGCAGGUAAUAUUUCUGCGAAAGAAACAGAGCACCUCCAUUCAAUUUAUAUCUGCAACAUUUCAAGAUCCUUAACGAACAUUUGUUUUGCUCGGACAGUCCCUCUUCGACUUCAUUGAUGUCACCAGAGUCGUCAAGCCUGGCACUUACCGACUGGUAAAUCUUCCAUCUUUGUGCUUAUUAGAAAAAGAUCCAUCAUCGUAUGACUCAAAACGCUCGCUAUCGUACAUAACCCUGCAAUUGACCGAAUGCUUAAUGUUUACAGGUGAGGCCAUACCCUAGGCAGGCCUUCAGCGAUGGACAUAGCGCCCUCACGCUGACCGAACUCGGCCUGACCAGCAAACAAGAAGCCUUAUUUCUGGAGCUGAUCUAGAUUGGUAACCAGAGUGGUCUAUUGUUAAAGUUGUAGAGGAUGUAUUUCCGUCGGUAGCUUAUGGUUAACACAUAGACAUUAAAGCAAACAUAUACGAAAAAGCAUGAAAAUUUGGGGGAAAGGGGAGUGUAUUAAGUCAUGUUUUGCACAUAGCAGAUCGUAUUUGGAGUGGAUUAAAACUGGACCGUUUCAGUUUGAAACUUCAUAUCAUGCAAUAGAAUCAUCUGCUGGGUCUCUCUUUGGCCUGUUCAUUGAGAUGUGGGUUGCGUAUGGUAUUGAGACCUUUAACCUAAGUCAGUAGUGGGAUCAGUCUUGUUUAGAAGGGCACUGAAUCAUGCUAUGAGGUUUUCAACAUUCUGUUAAGGUUCUUGUCUCUUCACUCUGGCUGAUUCAACUCAGUUUGGUCUCUAGUUUGUAUGAUUUAUAGGUUAAUCUUCAUGAUUCUAAAGUACAAAGUUAGAAUCUGACCACCCCUUCACGUUGACUCGCUUUGUGCAUUAGAGUCUCGUUUGGUUUUGAAUGUCAGAAUCUUACCAAACGACAUGUUUGCUUGGUUUCUUCGAUUCUCGUUUGGUUUUAAAUAGAAGACUGAGCGUCGACGCUGGUUUUCCCUGUUCGAGCCAGUCCGUAAGUCUGAACCACCCCACUCUCUACCGAAGCCAGUCAUGUGGAAGUAAAGGCCGGCCAAACUGGGGCUAAUACCUGGCGGCUGGCCGACAGCCAGAACAAUCAACACAAAAGCAGAGGUUGUGGUCACUUCAGCAAGGAGACAAGCAAUGCUCUGUUUCUUUUUCUUUACAUCAGCUCUUAUGUCUUUUGUGUUGCAAUUAGUUGCAACCAAUUUGCAUGCAAUUAGGUUCAACGGUCAGUUUCUAGCUCCCUUUUACCAAUUUUUUACCGUUGGGUGGUAAAUCUGUGCCAUUAUUAACUGCGGUUAUAUGAUUACCCGCAUCAUUGAUGUUUUCUUCUAGGGGACUCGUCACUGUUCACUAGAAAGUAGAAACCAUUGAUUGUUCAUACUUCCAGAGUAUCCCAAGCUGAAAACAAAUUGGUUUGGUGACCUCAGCAUAAACCUUAACCGUGCAGUUCCGACCCGACGAAACUUGAGUGUUGGUGUGUGUUAUCACCUUCCGCCAGCUGAAGUUGGAUCACAAUUUGCGAGUCCAGCUAUUGCACUAGUACUUGUUUGUACCCAAACUUCCAAGCAAAUUGUAACACAAACACAACAAACUCUUAAUUCAACCAAUAGGUGUAUUAACGAUGGAUAAUGCUACAAGUAGGAUGGAUUUACCUCGUCUAUCAAAAUUUUCAAUAUUCGAUAGAAAAAAAGAAUAAAAUUGUGUAUAAACAUUAAUAAACAAGAUAAAAUAUAAAUAUUAUAUAAAAAUUAGAUUCAAACACAAUAUCUUAAAAUCGUCAUGAAUGAAAAAUGUGCUUUACAACUAAAAUUAGGAUAUUAUCAUUUGAUCUCAUAAUUAAGAGAAUAAUAAUUUUACAAAAUAAAAGGAGAAUUAAUCAAACGCCACGUGUCAAUAUAAUCCCAUGGGUUAGGGGAAAGCCCAAUUACAAGAGUGCUGGGGCCUUCAAAAAGAAAAAGGAAAAGGCCACGUCAUCUUCCUUUUCUAGCCACGUGGCCGCCACGAUUAAGAAAAAGAACGGAGGAAGCGGAGAAAGGCCCACGUAACCAUCUUAUCUGAAAACUCCUUAACUUUGCCACGUAAUAAUCACUAUAUCUAAUGCCUGUCCUCUCUCGGACCCACACGUGUCCUUAAUCUAAUUUAUAAUUGCAUAGUUAAUAGACUGUUAAAGCAUUACAAUUCCAAGUUUCAAGUUUAUAUACUUCUCGACACCUUUUCAUCCACAUUUAGCUUUUAGGAUGAGUUUUAUUUAAGGUGUUACUAUUUGUAUCGGUUAGUAUUCGAGUAUGUCGGACAUAUAUCGGUUAGUAUUUGAGUAUGUCGAACAUAUGUUUGGGGAGAGGAUGACUAAUAAAAGAGACGAUCUGAAAACAGAAUAGGCUAAUUAGAGUAGACCGCUCGUAAACGUCGAUUAAAAAUUGUAAUAAUAUGUUACAUUACAUGUCCAGUUACAUAUCAUAGUUCAAAAUGUGAAAUUAAUAGGAGGGUUUAUUAUUUUGUUAACAUUCUCUUGUUACAAGCUAAUAUAUCACAUCCUAAUUACGUAUUUUUUAAUUGAAGAUAGACCAGAUAAAUCUGUUUUUAUAGGAGAAAAAUGAAGUAAAUAUAAUAUAGCUAGGUAUCCAUUUAUGACGAACCCAGGACCUUUGAGUCUCCAACCACACAACGCAACCACAACGGGCGAAAGCUACGUAUGAAAAUGAAGUACAUUCACAUCAAAAUUUAACUGUUGAAGUACGUUCUAUCUAAUAAGAUGUUGUAAUUUAGAACAAUUGGUAUUAGAACCUGUGUGACAUGUGUUUACAAUGAAACGACUUAUAAAAUGGACAACAAAAAAACAAAAUAGGUUAACCAAAAUAGACCGCUGUAAAUUUCGGUUUAGAAGAAUUAACACAGAAAUCAAUGUAGUUUAAGGGGAAGCUAACCAAACCCAAAAAAAAGAAACAAUUUUUCACCCCAACGGUCCAUUGAAACGGCAAACGGGCAUCAAAGUCAGGUGAUGUAGGGAUACCAACCACGUGUAGUCCAGUAGUCCACGUGGCCGCCAUUCAGGAUGCACAGUCACCAAAACCCUACCCCACACCACACGUUCCUCCCUCUCUCUCUCCCCGUACGCACAAAGUCACCAACUUUCAACGGUCAUAUUUCACCGACAUUUCCCAACGGUCACUUAAACAUCACAUCCAGGCCGUCCGAUCGCCGAUCCAACGGCCCUCGAAUACCACCAAAAAAUUCCUCGUUUUUGUCUGGCACAGUCAUUACGGUUUUACGGUAAAAGCAGAAUAUAAUAAUGAUGAUAACGGAGGUCCACGGAGGUGUAGAAAAAGAGGGUCUUGAUGGAGACAGCCAUUGAAGGGUGGUCUUUAGUAGAGGGAACGUAUUAGUUUUAGUAGAGAGAGAGAGAGAGGAGGGAGGGAGAGAGAGAGAGACGUAGCCAUAGGUUUGUAUCAAAGAGUCAUACUUUGGAGGUUUACUAGGCAGAGAGGGAGAGAGAUGAGUGUUCUUCUGUAAUUGAUUUUGAGUUCAUGCAUCAUGAGGGUUCUGGGAUUUGCAUCAAUUAGUGUGUUGUUUUCGAAACUGCAAGUAUGUGUGUUCUUCUUCUUCUUCUUCUUGUUCAUCUGCAUUUCCUUUCAUGGUGUCAAUUUGGGGUUUAGUUCAUAGGUUGAUUGUUCUUGAGUCUGUUCAGUUUUGGUGUUUUGACAGUUUAGGGAAUCCGAUGAUUUGUUGUGUUCUUUUCUGCCUUCUAACUGUUUGAUUCAUUGUCUAGCUUAAAGGAACAUUCUUUCAUUCUUUUCUGGGGGGUCAUUCAUUAUUCAUUGUUCAUUGAUUCAUUCUUGCUGUUGUUAAUCAAAUACUUUGUUAAAUACAGACACUCACAUUAUACUGUAGGAAUCUUUUUGUUUUUUUUCUCAUCGGAUUCCUGCCUGUUAUUGUUCUGUUAGAUUUUGGUUUCUUGGUAGAUUACAUUACAUUCCCACAGACUCACAUUACUUUGAGGUUCAUAGGUCAGAUUACUUACAAAAGAGAAAAAAAAAGAGGAAGGAUUGGGAGGAAUAUAGAGGAUGUUGGCAGGUUGUUCUUCUAGUUCCACACUGUUGUCACCUAGGCAUAGAUUAAGGAGUGAGUCAGCAGCAGGAGGAGCAGGAGGAGCACAGUUUCCAGCUUGUCAGUUCCAGUUACCUUCAAUGAGCACACAGAGAUUGGACUUGCCAUCAUGCACAUUCCCCCGCAAAGAUCAAUCGUCGAGAUCACAAUCCAUUAGGCCAGUUGGUGUUUCAGUUGACAACAGGCCACUAGACUCCAAGACCAGCAGGUGUUCUUCUCUCAAGCAGAACAUCCGGCUUCCACCAUUGGCGACAGCAACCGUCAAGGAUGACUUUUGGGAUCAGGGAAGGAAUCAGCAGAAGCAGAAGAAGAGAUUUGCAGAGCAGGAUGAUGAUGAUGAGUCCUACAUCAACAGGACUAAGAGGAAGAAAUGCAGCAAUGACCAUGGUAAGUCUGCUAAUUAUGGCCAUGAAGGUGGACUAGGCCAGUUUGGUUCUGGGAAGUUUUGGUUUCAACCAAAUUUUCAGGUUCCUUUCUCUUUGACAUGUUCAGGAGAAGAUGAAAGGGUUUGCUAUGUCCCCAGUGAAGUGAUUUCACCACCUAGGCCACUGUCAAACAAUCCAUGGGUUGAUUCAGUCAUAACUCAGAUUACUGACUUAGGGGGGAAAGACGGAGAGGGAAGCCAAAGAAGACCAGGGAAAGAAGCUUCAGGUUCUAGCAGUACUUCAUCAGACAGUGACAGUUUGGAGCUCAGGCUAAGUGAGAGGAAUCCUGAGGAGCAUGAAGUUGGUAAUGGCUCAAGAAAUCCUCAUCAUCCACAACACAAUGCUGCAACAAUGGAGGCUGCCGAGGAGGAGGAUCAGGACGGAGAGGUUAGAGGUUUGGAGCUGGUUAGCUUGAUCACAUCAUGUGUCGAAGCAAUCAGGUCAAGGAACGUGGCGAUGGUCAACCAUUUCAUAUCCAAGUUGGGAGAACUUGCUUCUCCAAAGGGAAGUCCUAUCAGCAGGCUGAGUGCUUAUUACACCGAGGCUUUGGCUCUCAGGGUUACAAGGAUAUGGCCUCAAGUAUUCCAUCUCGCCACUCCGAGGGAUGUCGACCGGGUUGAAGAUGAUACAGGGACUGCAUUGAGGAUUAUGAAUCAGGUGAGUCCGAUUCCGAAGUUCAUUCACUUCACUGCCAAUGAGAUGUUGCUGAGGGCAUUUGAAGGGAAAGACAAGGUUCACAUCAUUGACUUUGACAUCAAACAAGGGCUUCAGUGGCCUAGCUUCUUUCAGAGUUUGGCAUCAAGAUGUAACCCUCCUAGCCAUGUUAGAAUCACCGGUGUAGGCGAAUCGAAGCAAGAUCUGAACGAGACAGGAGACCGGCUAUCUGGGUUCGCAGAAGCGUUGAACUUGCCCUUCGAGUUCCAUCCGGUUGUGGAUCGAUUGGAAGACGUGAGGCUAUGGAUGCUUCACGUGAAGGAAGGAGAGAGUGUUGCAGUAAAUUGCCUAUUCCAGAUGCACAAGAUACUCUAUGACACCAAUGGAGUGGCACUGAGGGAUUUCAUAGGACUAAUCAAGAGUACAAACCCAGUAACGGUCAUCAUGGCAGAGCAAGAAGCUGAGCACAAUGGAUCCAGCUUGGAAUCCAGAGUCUGUAAUUCUCUGAGGUACUAUUCUGCUGUGUUUGACUCCAUUGACUCUGGUCUUCUCCCAUUGGAGAGCCCAGUCAGGAUCAAAAUGGAGGAGAUGUUUGCACGGGAGAUCAGGAAUGUAGUUUCCUGUGAAGGGAUUGACAGGGUCGAGAGGCACGAGAAGUUUGAGAAAUGGAAGAGCUUGAUGGAGCAAGGUGGAUUUCAUAGCGUGGGAAUCACCGAGAGGGAGUUUCUUCAGGGUCAGAUGUUGUUGAAGAUGUACUCUUGUGGUGGAAACUAUGGGGUUAUGAAGCAAGGAGGAGGAGAAGCAUUGGCCCUCACACUUACUUGGUUAGGAGAACCACUCUACACAGUCUCGGCAUGGAUACCGGUGGACAUUGCAGGAAGCUCGUCGUCAUUUUCGCAGCCUUAGUUCAUACACCAGCAUACAGAAAAAAAGGACAGAUAAGAUUCUUUGUAGGUAGCAAAAAGGAAAGUCAUUUGUUACUAUUCUUUCAUUCUUUUGUUUGCAAAUACAUAAUCAGUCUGAUAUUUCAGCAGGUAAAAAAGAACACUAUUCGUUUGUAUGAAUCACAGUUACCUUUUCUUAUUCAAUUCAGUUCUUUGCACACAGAUUGUCCAUUGUCACACGGUUCAUUUUGCCAUAUAUGAAAUAAAAAUUCAGUACAUUUCUGUGUUCUUCAAGUCAUGUGUUCUUAUUACUUAUUAGUAGCAGAUUUUACAAUGAAAGCAAAAUCCUCAAUGUUUAGCCCUAGGGAUUAGAAUAAGGGGCUGUUCCUUCCUCAGAGUUAAGCCAUAUUUUUCUCUCAUUUCUAAUUCAACUCCAUCCGGAAGUGACCAGUCAAAACAAUGGAUCAAAGAAGCAACAAUUAGGGAAGCAUGCUUUGUAGCCAUUGUGAGACCAGGGCAAAUUCUCCUUCCUGAACCAAAAGGUAUGAACUCAAAGUCAUUCCCUUUGAAGGGAGUUUAGUUGAGAAACCUCUCUGGACAGAAUCUCAAGGGCUCUUUCCAGUUCUUGGGGUCUCGUCCGAUCAUCCAGAAGUUCACCAGUACCUGUGAUUUCUUUGGGAUGCUGUGCUUCAUUACUUGGCAGGUCAAAAUGGCGCGGUGUGGGAGGAGGAAUGGCCCUGGAGGGUGCAGCCUCAGGGUUUCUUUGAAACAAGCUUGAAGGUAUGGUAAUUUUGUUACUGAUGAUUCUUUGAUUGCAGCAUUCUUCGGUUCCAUUGCAGAUGAGAUUUCUUGUUUCACCCUUUUCAAUGCAUUUUGGAUUGUUUAUCAGUUCUGCCAUCAUCCACUCAGUUGUUGAGCUGCUGGUGUCUGUUCCAGCUGACAGUAUCUCAUAAACCAUAUAUACCUCCUCUACUUGUAUUUUUACUAUAACAAUCAUCUCCGCUAUCAUCACUAUAAUAAAACUCCAUCCUCCCCGUGAAAUAGUCGAUCUCAAGAUCAAAAACCACGUUAUUCUCCGUGUUAUUCCUCCUUUAUUCAUCCUUUAAUUUCCGAUUAUUCCAGAUUUAUUUACAAGUACAACUCGCAAAUUCAGUUAAUCCAACCAGCCACUUUGACAUUGGAGAAUUUUGAAUCACCAAACUUUUAACACCAGUAUGAAAAUGGGAGGGACAGAUCGCUUACCUUAUCAUGGAAACUGUAUGACAAGAUUGAAUAUGAACCAAAUACAUUGGAGAAACAAGUACUCCAAUCCACCAAGCUAGCCAAGCUACCAGACAACAUAAUGAGUAUGUUUGGGAGCAGAGAAAGAAAAGAUUUUGUUCCCAAACACAUGCAAAAAAAAUUAGAGGACAAAACAAAAGGACAUCAUGUUACUGUUGGUUGCUAGCUAGUUUUGCAAGUUGCAAAGGCAAAGCAGUACUCAUGAGCCGCACCAUUUCACCCACAAAAACAACCAACUAAACGACCCCUAUGGACAGAGCCACUUUGAACUGUUGCCAUGAACGUCUUUGUCAAGAUUUCAGUGUCACAAUAAAAAUCAGGGUGGGGGGGAAGGUUAAUUUCCCCCCAAACUAUGGUUAUGUAUGUACAGUUUUGUCAAUGGUUGUGCUAGAUAGUACUCUAGCCAAAUUCUAGCAAGGUUAAUCACUUUGUUGUUAGGCUUUAUAGGGAAGGAAGAAGUGUGCAUGUUGAGUACUCAACUAACUACUCCGUCGUGUGGUUAUAAUUAAGUGGUCUUAAAUUCGAGGUAGAUUUUGAUUCUGUUUUUAGAACGUACAUUAAUGACGAUGGUCUAUUCUAUUUAUAUUAAGAUGUUGAUCCUGAGGAUGUUUAAUUCUCUGUGUAUAGCCUAAUGCAUUUCAAAUUCUGACUAUCCGACUCUAUUCCCCCAACGAAAUCACAAUGUAUGGAUGGAUGGGAUGGUAUUGGCGUUUUCCUAAGAUUUUUGAAUAUUGUAAUCGAAAGAUUUAUGAAUUGUAACCGGAAGGUUUGUGCAAAUCUUCUCGUUACAGUAUUCGCAAAUCUUCCGGUUAGAGAAUGAUUCAAUGGUAUAAUUUUCUUCGUGUUAUGUCGUUAUUAUAUCAGUGUAACGCAAACUUAAUAUCCGCAAUCGUUUAAUUUAAAAAUCUGUUACGUUUAAUCUGAGUUCAGCUCGUAUAUGGAUUGAGCUCACGUUUUAAUUGGUUUAGUGCAUUUUAACCAAUUCCGUAACUAAUUGAUGUUAACCUAACUCACCGAAGAUCGAGUUUAAAUUAAGAGCACUUCACAAACUAAAUAAAUGACUAAAAUGUAAUUACACAAAAAUUUAGGGUUAAAAUAAAAAACUGGUUUGUCCAACGAAAUGAAACAAUGCAUUUGGGAAUUCUACAUGUGCAUUUGGUAAGUUUUAGAAAUUGCCAUUUUUAUAAUUUAGGUUUGGAGUUGAUUUUUUACAUAAUUUUCGAUUUAAUCGUGCCUAUAAAAAUAAUUUUUUGUUAUGUUAGUGUUGAAUCAGGAUGAAUGGCAAUACCGUCAAUAUCUCUCUAUAAACAGGGGCAAAUCCGUGCUAGUCGUUACAAAUUCAAUUCACCAAAUUUGUUUUUUUUUAAUGAUUAAUAUUCGCCGGGGUUAGCCAAGAAUAAAUGCCAAAAUGCUGAGGUGGACCAACAAUUAAAAGUUCGUUGGUGGUAGUUGCAUCCUCCCUCCUANNNNNNNNNNNNNNNNNNNNNNNNNNNNNNNNNNNNNNNNNNNNNNNNNNNNNNNNNNNNNNNNNNNNNNNNNNNNNNNNNNNNNNNNNNNNNNNNNNNNNNNNNNNNNNNNNNNNNNNNNNNNNNNNNNNNNNNNNNNNNNNNNNNNNNNNNNNNNNNNNNNNNNNNNNNNNNNNNNNNNNNNNNNNNNNNNNNNNNNNNNNNNNNNNNNNNNNNNNNNNNNNNNNNNNNNNNNNNNNUACAUGUUAUAGAUAACUGAAAAAUCAAAUUUCAUUAUGAUACCUCUAUAAAUAAUGGCCAAAUAUCAAACUGGUCAACAAUGAAGAGGUUAAAGGCGCAAGAAAGAGUACCAAUCUUAGACAUGCUCAUUGGCCAUUGAUAGUCGGAUAGCACGAGUCCCCAACUUUGAAACUAAAUUCAAUAAUUAGGUCACGUUAUUCAAGAUUGAACUUGUUCGAACUCUUUACUAUAGAUAUACCAACAUAUGCCCUUCAUCAUAUAAACACCAAUUUCACGAUAACCAAUAUGUUUCACCUAGUAAUAUCAUACUACUAAACAAAAUCUCAAAGACUAAUUUAUUAUUGAUUAUUGAAUUUUUUUAAGAAAUACAUUAUAAUUCGGUCUAUAAGGACAUCUCCGUCUUAAAAUUUUAGUGAUUGCUAAAAUGAUGUGACGGGUGAGGUGGUACAUUAUUAACAAUUAAUAUGGCUCCACGUAGACUUGAUAAAUGAGUAAGCUUUCUAAAUUAGAAAGUCAAUUAGCAAUGUCACGUAGAUAAAUGGACCAUCUUUUAAGAAAAUAAUAUUUAUGAUUUGGAUUUAUAUUAUGAAUGAUGUAUUUUUAUUGGUAGAAAAACAUUGUUAUGAAGAUAUAAUGAUGAAUAUAAAUUAGGCUUGGCAUUUUGGUCCGGAAAUUCAAAAACCGCCCGAAUCCGAUGCGGUUAACGCGGGCAAAAUUAGGUUUGAGCGGGUGGUAGAUCAGAUUUGGAUUAAUCCGAAUCUGAAGGUGACGGGCGACAGGUGGGUAUCGGAUUCACUAGUAUCUGAUCCGACUCCGCCUGGAAGUAUGUAUACCUGCAAAAAGGCUCUAGAUUAGUUUGGUCUAUAUUUUUGUUGGAGGGAUUAUUGUUUGGUUUAAGUUACUAGUGGCUACAAUCAGUUUUGCUAAUGAAGGUUGCUAAGAAAAUUUAGUAUUUUGGAUAAUUGCACGGUUGUUUGGUUGCUUUGCUUUGAUUUAAACUCGAUUUUUAAUUUUGGUUUAGUAUAUUUCAGAUCAAAUUCGAUCCCCGACCAAACUCGAAAUCCGACAAUGGGCAGAGAUCGUAUGACAUCUAAAUCCGAUUUCUAUCAUUAGGUGGGGAUUCUCCGAAUCUGAAAAUAUAACGAAUGGGUAAUAAAUUCAUAUAAAUCCGACUCCGACUCACCCGAUUGCCAAGCCUAAUAUAAAUUAUUAGGGAUGGAAGUGACUUGAAAUGAGUCACUAAAUAAAUUAUUAAAACUUACUAAAUAAAUUAUUAAAAUUGCUUAUAUAAUNNNNNNNNUUAUAAAUAAAAAUAAAAAGAAUAACUUUCGGUUCUCCAUAUAUUCGAUUGUGUACAAACUACAAAAUACUCUAAGAGGCCACUAACCGAAGUGUGGGCCACUAACCGAAAUUGAUUCUCGAGUAUCCUUUCGGUUAAUGAUUCGAUUACCUUUUAGGGAUAUUUGCUUUCGGUGGCCCAUCUCAUCAUUUUCAUUCACGAUAGUGAAGUUUAUUUUGACGAUUGGGUAGUUGGAAGAGUCCUUUUACUUAGGGAGGUCAAAUUAUAUACCUAGGGUAGGCCCGUUAGGGCAAAAAGCGAGAUAAGAGUUAACAAUGUUGGUUGAUCGUUGAGAUUUAAUCGUGAAAAAUUGGCAUUUUGAUUCAAACUUGGUGAGACACCUUAUUUAUAGAUGGAUCAUUUAGAAGCUUUUGGACGAUCGAGCUUAAAAGCGUAUUAGAUUUAACCCAUUGCGACUAGAUUGACAUUGAUAUAUACAUGACGAUAUUUUAGUAGAUCGCCUCCGACUAAUGGCUAGAAUCGUUGUGGUCACUCCAACCUAUGGGAUGAACUCACGCUGCCCGGUUCAAAUUAUAAAUGAUGUCAUGCACGCUCUGUUUAAUUUGGAGCAAAUUGAUAUAUAUUCAGAGAGAACAUUCUCUCGGUACGUACUCUCUGUCUACUUUCUUUCGCCCUCUUGAUUAACCAUAUGUCGUUAAUUCUCGAGCUCGCUACUAUUACUGUAAGUGAAUAAUAUAAAUAUCAUCUGAAUCCUCUCCCAACAACUCGAGUUAUUGAGAUGCAACGGUUCUUGUCAUGGUAUCAGAGCCUUACAUGACUGAGAGGUCUUCGUUCCGAAUCCCGGUAGCCCCCAGUUUGUGCACAUGACUUAUCAAAGUUGUGCAAAUUAAACCUCAGCUCUUAUGAGAGCUUCCUUUUGAAGGGGCGUUUGAGUGAAUAAUAUAAAUAUCAAUCAUUUUCUCCCAACAAUUCGAAUUAUUGGGAUGCAACAGUUUUUGACAAUUACAUCACUUUACCUGCGAACCAGUCACAUAAGGAUGGACAAUGUGAUCAUACGCAGAACCGGCGACACAUGUUCAUGGCCGCUUGUUGCUCAUCCCUAAGAUCUGGUCUCAUGAUCUUUUAAUCACGUAAGAUUCUAAUAUCAUAUCAUAAAUCAUUACGUUUCAAUAACUAAAGUUAUUAAAAAAAAUUCUGAAUAUUAAUAUUUAUACUAUCUCACUAAACCAUUUGAUUAAACUACAGCCGCCCAGCCACACGACCUUUGAAACGAUGACGAUACCAAUAAUACCUAGUAGUAAUGAAUCUUCUAAGUUAUCCAAACACAGUGCGUUAUUGCGCACUAUAGUACCCACCGACUCUGUGCUGUGAUUUCGACAUCGUCGGCUACCACGUGUCCUCUCCCAAAACCUUUGGCGACGGGACGGGGCCACAAUCCGCGACCGGGAAGUGGGAAGCAUUUAUACGGUUUGGUUUGUGGUUGUGCAACGGAUUGGAAAAUUAUCGAGAUUUAGAACGAUGGCCGUUUGUCAGGCAAAGACAUUUAUAUAUCGUGUCAUAAAUCGUUGUAACCUUAAUAUUUAAAUUAUUGGAAAAUGUUUCAAGAUUGGUUUAAUUUAUGACUCAAAUCCCUUGUUUAUGGGUCGAGAGAAUAUAUCAGGAUUUUAAAUUCUUGUUAGCCACGAGAAACAAUUAUAAAAGAAACUUAUUUUAGAUUUAUAUAAAUGCCUAUAAAGUUGUAAUUCUAAUUAAUAAGUAGUAAUUAUAGUGGAGUUUUCGACCUCAUCACCCACAAUUUUUCUUUGUAAGAAGAAAUUUCCACGUAAAAUCGUUUAUAAUAGUGAAUUUCUCUUUCAAUUCAUUUUUAUUUUAUUCAUUAAUUUUCGCUUGUUAAUUUCUCUUUCAAUCCAUCUUUAUUUCAUUCAUUGCUUUCGCUUUAGUUCCCAUAUUUCAUACAAACUAGUCUUUGUUCUAGGUUCUUGAGUCGUUAUCCGUAGGCCAACAGGGUCUAUUUAAUAAUUCUAAACUGAAUUUAAAAUAAUUGAAAUCAAAGACAUGAUAAAACUUUGAAAAAAAAUAUAUGUCUAUGGAAAAUGAAAUAAAAUUUCGAGUCUUUCAUACGUAACCUUUUUUUCUUCCAACCAAUUCACCCAAUCAAACUAAGUCUUGUUCUCGAAAUUUGGGACCAUGACUAAUAUUGAAUAGUAACAAAGAAAAAUAUGACGAAUAUGUCACACUAAUUUAGCAAUAAAAUCAAUCUAUAUGUAAUUGUAGCUAGCUAAUGGGGAGGGGGGCAGGGAUCCCCCACAAGCAUCCCGCCUUCUAGCGAGAGCAACCCGCGGGUCGUCCAUUUUAUCGAGAUGUUCGGAUUAGAAUGGAGGAGAAGGGAGAUGUGGCUAAUAAUACCAUAGGCAUCUCAAGGCCAAAGAGUCGGCGGAGCAAGCAGGGCAGAGACGACAAUUUGACCGUCUUAGCGGAUACAAAUUGGCUCGGGAAGGCGGGUAGUGAACCGAACAGCUUCCAGUAUGGCACGACAUUCGGUAUGAAAGGAAGAGUUACAGUCGAAAACUCAUGACUCUAAAAUAAGGAGUAUCAGGAAAUAGACCACAAAAACUGUCCUUUUUUACUUUUCUUUAUUUCUCACUUUUCUCUCUAUGAUGAGACUGUCCUUUUUACGUCUUAACUUCGUUAAGCUCAAAUUACGCUGAGAAUUUUUGUUAUUCAGUGUCUUUGAUCAUUCUCGAAUAUAAGUACAAAUACAUCUCAAAACCCCCUAAUCUCUCACUCCAAUUAUCUCCUCAAUUAAUCAGUGUCACGUUCUGAAGAAUAUAUAUAUAACAACAACUCUUCAUCUCAGGUGACUGAUCACCCAUAUGAAAUGUGAUAACUUAUAAGGGGAGACAAUCAAUCGACCAAUCAUACAUUAAAAACACCAAAUUAAAAUUCAAUAAUGUCGGGCAUAUCAUCUUGGCGAAUGGCGACUCUAUCACUCGGGAGAUUCAAAACUCUUCGAGUACGUCCAUGUUAGAGAUCCUGUUUAGCUCCGGAUUGUCCGACGGGCCAGAUAAGCCCAUUCAGUACCACGCUUGGCUUUUAGAUAGCUCCUAAUCUCGACGAGGAGCUAUCUAAAGCCGAAAAUAUAAAUUAAUAAAUCUAUGUAUAAGCAAGACAAACAGAACCCAACUUGGCAAGGUUUUGAAUGAUUAACGUUUUGAUUAAAUUAACGUUACAUGCUUCGUCUCCACUGGGUCAUCUCUUCUCCCUUAUCCAUUAUGAACAAAUUAAAAAACACCAGACAUCACUAUAUGUGGUUAACAAAUGCCUAAGCUGACUCAGAUCCACGUUGCAACGAGUGCACUUUUGCUGCUGACUGUACCUCUUCCUAGCUCCCCAUUGGUACACAUGUUACCCCUCUUGUUAUUUUAUUAUUUUAUAUGGUGGUGGGGAGAGGAAACCCUCCCCUCAGCCACUUGUUUAUUUAAUUAAUUAAUUUUAAUUUUAAUUAAGUUGGGAAGUGGGAACUAGCUAGUGUUUUUAUCGUUAUUUUUAAUAAUAUAUGUGUGUUGCUAUUGAAUCAUCAUAGUACUAUUAGUCAAUUAUUUAAAUUGAGAAAGAAAGAGCAAAAGUGUAACGAAAGUUUACGAAUUGAGUCGAGCUUAAUUUUAUUGUGUUUAAAUUUGGUUUGUUAAAUUUUAGAUGAAUUUGAGCUUAUUGGAGUCUGAAUUUUAACUAUGUUUGACGAGUCAAAUUUGAACUCAACUCAAAUUUUAUUAUCAUUAAAAACUAAUAUUUUUUUAACUAAUUUUGAAGCUCGUGUACUAAAAAUUAUCGACCAGUCAAGCUAUAAAAGAAAAUUUAAAUUUCUACUUUUCUCAAAUAAAAUAGUUGAAUCUAAAUAACAUGCCACUUGUAUUUUAAUUAGUACAACCACAGUCACAAAUUACACAUAUUUUAUUGUAAUAUGAUUUUCGAGACAAAACCCAUGUUGCAUUAUUGAGCCUCUUGAUGAGCUAUAACACUCGAGUUGGCUCUCGAGUUCGAACUCAAACCAACUUAUUAGACUAAUAAGUGGGAAAACAUUUUUGCUCAAACUUAACUUAUUUAAAAUUCAGCUAAGUAAUUAUCAUAAUACUAUAAAUUAAUUGGAAAAGGAGAGGAAAAGUGUAGCCCUACUGGCCUGCCCUAAUUGUGUCUUUUUAAUUUGUUUAUUGUGGGGGGAUUAAUUAAUGACGUGGACGACGAAAGCAAUGGGAAAGUGAAGGGAAAAAGUGUAAAUGGAAAAUUAAAAAAGUGCAAUGGAUUAAUUGACUACUACUAGGUGUAUUUUAUUUUUUAUUUUAAUGUGAAAGGAGUUACAUAAUAAUUCAUGGAAAAUAAUUACAUAAUAAUGGUCAACUUUAACAGGUCAUUUUCAGUUUAUAUUAGGUAUUCGUCACUGCUCAAAGCUGUUUAUGCAUAAUUUUAUUGUAAUUUACCUUAUAAAAUUACAAGGUAAAUGUGUAUAUUUUAUUUUAUAAGAAGUGUAAAGCUGUCUAAAUUACUGGUUUCAUUAUUUUUGCCAAACUUGGUUUCAUUAUUCUAUUGCAAUUAUGUUCUAUGAUUAACAUUUUACUAUUAGGUUCACCAAUUCAAUGGGAUAGGUGUGUUAGUAUGAAAGUCAGAUAAGAGUCAACGUUGUUAUGUGAUCGACUGAUUAUAUGGGUUUAAUCGCAUGUCAUUAGUAGACCUCGUUCGUAAAUGGGUUGGUUAAUGGUGCUUUGGCGAUCGAGCCCAAAACCUCAUGAGACAUAAUUCACUAUGGUUAGGUCAUCACUUGGAGGUAUAAGGCGAGAUCUUAGUGAACUGCCUUAGAUUGAUUGUUAGAAUCUUUCAGGUCGUUUAGACAAUUGGAAUUAAGUUACACCGCCCAAGACCAGACUCGCCAUACUAUAAAUUAAUAAUGAUAUGUCACCACUCUUGAAAGGGCAUGUUGUCAUAAAUUCGUAGGGGGCGUUACAUUGAUAUAUAUACUUUGUCCAUUUUCCUUUUCUCUCUCCAUUAAUUAAUAUUAUUUCAUUCACGAACUUACUACCUUAUAUAACUUAACUUGCAAAGGAAAUCACACAAGACUAAACCAAACGAUACAAUUUCAAUUCAACAAUCACAUGACCAAAACUUCUAUUGUCCACCCGCAAUCUAAUCAUUUUACUAAGAGAUUUUAUACUAACUAGUAUUAGAUAGGGUUUUGAGAAGUAGAGAGCUAGCACUCAAGUUCACCAAAAUUAGAUUUCUAAUUUUUUUUAAGAUGCUAGCAAGAAGUUAGCGAAUUAAAAAAAUUUCAAAACUAAACAUAACACCAUUAUCGUAUAGUCUAAAAAAAAUAUUUUUUAACUGUAUUUGACUAUUAUUUGGUGGGGUUAAUAUAGUGAAAAUUGGAUUUUUAGUCACUUUCAACAUGUCAAUUUGAAAAUUUUCAAUUUUCAUAUGAAAUUUGUCAAUUGUCGUGUGUUAUAACCCAUGGAAAUUGACAAAUUUCACAUGAAAAUUUUCAAAUUUUCAAAUCGAUUAAUAUUUUACCUGUAUUGGAAAUGACUAAAAAAUUGAAUUUCACUAAGGUAAUCCCUAUUAAUAAUGGUCAAAUGAAGUUAAAAAUCAUUACUGCAACCGACAUCAACUUUCUGAUGCUAUGUGGAGCACAAGAAGAUGUACCGGCUCUAAGCCAUGGGUCGAAUGUUUCACAACAUGAGGACCUAAACCAGUUCCAAAUUCGUGUGGAGAAAGGGCAGUGGAGUAGAUGCGACAUACCGAUUCCUCACUCGCACGACAAAGGACACACAUGUUUGGGACGAUCAUAUACCUCAACGUCUCAUGUUAUCGAUGAUGGCGGCAAUAACGGGCAUGCACGGUUGAAUACCAAAAUUUCAGUUUAUUCAACAUGUGGUCAACAUCAUUUGUAGUCCAACAAUGUUAAUAAUUCUCAAUUGAUCACAAGUUUAACCGGGUGGGAAGUUGGUUGGAAUUUAACUGUCAAUCAGAAAAUUCGUUUUUUAAAACCGUAUUGUCGGAAUCUAAUUUCUCAAUCCGAUCAGGAAAACAUUCAAAAUUCUAUUUANNNNNNNNNNNNNNNNNNNNNNNNNNNNNNNNNNNNNNNNNNNNNNNNNNNNNNNNNNNNNNNNNNNNNNNNNNNNNNNNNNNNNNNNNNNNNNNNNNNNNNNNNNNNNNNNNNNNNNNNNNNNNNNNNNNNNNNNNNNNNNNNNNNNNNNNNNNNNNNNNNNNNNNNAUAGGCCGACUACUUAAUAGUAAUGUUGUCGUUAGGUAAACUUUAAGGUUACAGAUCGUUAACCCUUAAAUGAGACUAAUGAUGAUAUUAAAAAGUGUUGAAAUGAUUGCGUAUUAUUCCAAAAUUAUGUACUACAAUACAAUCUGUUUGGUGUGACAGAUUCUAGAAGAAAUUUCACCCCAGAAUCACAACUCAUCUUUAGUUUUAGAAAUAUAACAAGUUUUGACCUAUUAUUCUUAUUACUUGUAGUAGUAGCCUGUGAGCUGUGGUGGUGCCAAAGUACAACAACAGCUCAUUAAUCACUAAAAUCAUUGAAAAAAAUGGAAUUUCUUAGUUUCGAGACCAUAAUUUGUUUUUAUUUAUGUUCUUUUAACCGAUUCCCACGUCAUCACACAAUUAAUUGUCUUUUUUUUCAUUUUUAUUCCCCGAACGAAUUUGGAUUUGGAAUUAGAGAAAUGCUUUCUGAAUUCGAUUUAGAAAGUCCGAACAAUUCUCAACCAUCUAAAAAUGACAUCUUACAUCCGGCGACUAAAAACACAAGGCAAAAUUAAUAUUUCACAACCAAUACAAAUACAAAUGUAUAUGCUAAGUAUUACAACAACUAAUGUACUAAGUAUCAUACGAAUUAUGUAUACACUUAUGAACGGAUUUUUACAAACCUACACACAUUUUUAUGAGGCGCACAACUCUCCGUACAAAGUUAUACGGCCAGUCGUCGGAAAAAUGGAUAAAAAAAAAUAGAAUCGUAGAGCCAACAACAGUGAUCACGUUGGUGUAAAAAAUUUCGUCAAUCAAGGUCGACAAUUGUCGGGGAUCUUUUCGGAAAUCUAAAACGGUGGUCAAGCAAUUAUAGAUUGUUGGUCUGUUGGAUUCCGAUCAACAAAAAUAUUUAAACAACACGGUCUAUAUUACCUCAAAUUAACCUUAACUCUUAGAUCAUAUGAAGAUCUAAAGGUUUAAAUGACUUCCGAAUCGAAUCCAAAAGUCAUCUCUUUUAACUCCGAAAUCGGACUCCCGGAGAACAGAUAAAUUAAUGGAUAAUUUCAACGCUUGAUUCUCAACUGCAAAAAAAAAAAUCCACUAAUAUUAAUUAUCCGGCCUCCCCUAGUUAAUCUCUCCCAUGAUCACCUUCUUCCCCAAAUUUAAAUACAGUCCCAGUUCUAUCCCAAAGCACAAGAAUCCCCAAUUCUCAUCCACAGUCAUUACUACCAUCGAUCAGAAUUUCCCAGAUAAAAAGUCUGUACCUUUGCAGUACUUUUCCUUGAAUUUCAGCGUUUACGCGUCAAAAUCAACCAAAUUAGGGUUCUUUACUAUUUUCCUCUUCAAUUUUCCCACCAAACAAACAGACAAAUUUGUAUAUAUAAUAUCAGUUUGCUGCCGCGUUCAAACAAAUCCGGUGCUUUUUGAGGAGCUUCCUCGCCUACGCGUCUUGCUUACAAAUACCCAUUCCUCUACCAUGUUGCCACCUCUCCCCUCUCUCUCCCUCUCUGGCUCUGUCAGUUCUUAAAUAGUUCUGGAUCGGGUUACGUUCGAUUAUCGAAGUUUCUAAGGUUUUUUUUUUUUUUUUAAUUUGCUGUCGUCUUGAUGGGUGCGAAUUUCUCGUUGGUGUUCAUGGAUCCGGCUGCUACGUGUUCUCUGUUCUCCGCCUUCUCUCUCCCGAGUCACCAGCCGCCGAAGCAGCCUCAGAGGCCGACGCUAGGCGACGUGCCGGAGAGCUGCGUGGCUCCGGUUCUGGCGAAUUUGGACCCGGUUGAGAUUUGCAAGCUGGCGACUUUGAACAGGGCGUUUCGUGGCGCGUCAUGGGCUGAUUUCGUCUGGGAAUCGAAGCUUCCGGAGAAUUACCGGACUCUCAUGGAGAAAGUUCUGGGCGUUGUUGAUGUUGACGGCGACGGCGGCGGGAAGAGGAUUAGUAAGCGCGAGAUUUACACCAGGCUUUGCGCUGCCAAUUCUUUCGACGGCGGCACAAAGGUUCGUUUCUUCCGAUCUUUCUUUCCUCAACCCGUACAUCUUAUCGGAUAGAAAAUUGAGUUGUUAGGGUUAAAUUGAUGAAAUUUUGUGUUAACUGAAGUUUAUGUAUCUUGUUUCUGCAGAAAGUGUGGCUGGAUAAGACUACAGGUGGUGCCUGUCUAUCCAUUGCUUCAAAGGGAUUGUCGAUUACCGGAAUCGAUGAUCGGAGAUACUGGAAUCAUAUUCCCAGUGAUGAAUCAAGGUGAGGGCUUGGAAACUUGGAUCAGUUAUGUUCGUUUGUAGCUGUUUAAUGCUGUAAGCUAAUCUAACUGUUCUCAUUUCCUGCAGAUUCGCCUCUGUAGCAUAUCUCCAGCAGAUAUGGUGGUUCGAGGUAAGCGGGGAAUUCGAGUUCCCCUUCCCAGCAGGGACUUACAGUCUCUUCUUCAGGCUACAGCUAGGACGAACUGGCAAGAGAUUCGGCCGCAGGAUCUGCAACACGGAGCACGUCCAUGGCUGGGAUCGAAAGCCAGUCCGGUUCGAGCUGUGGACAUCUGGCGGUCAGUAUGCAUCUUCCCAGUGCUUUUUGAACGAUACCGGGAAGUGGAAUCUGUACCAUGCCGGAGACUUUGUCGUCGAGAAGGGUUUGAACACACCGACGAAGCUCCGGUUGUCGAUGACACAGAUCGAUUGUACACAUACCAAGGGAGGUCUGUCUUUGGACAGUGUACUAGUCUUCCCAUGUAAAUUUAGAGAAAGGUUGAAGCAUUUUUAGAGCGCUGUUCUAACCUUUGUGACGGAGUGGAGUUUCAGGUACUUCUCUGCAUUUGUUGUAGUGGUGAGUUUAGUUAUAGAAGAGCAAGGGAGAGAGAUGUCAGGGACCUAGUGGUUUUUUUAUUGGCUUGGCUUGGCUCAUCUUUUGUGAUAUAUGCGUUCAAAGAGCAAUGUGUAUAACAAGUUUUGUAAUGUUGAUCCAGUACAUGUAAUUCUUUUGUUCCUGUCUCAUAAUUUCAACAGUACCUUGAAGCCAUUGAUGAUGUGAUUCAAUAUCUGCAGAUUCUGUUUUUUUUACAGAGAAGGCAAGAACAUCCAUAUAAGUAGAUUUCAAUCUUCCCCAUUACCGGUGUAAAAAAAAACUGAUGUGCUACUGUUGAUUUACAGAUUGUGUAGCAAUUAUAACCAUGUAGAAAGCAUCAUCCUAUUCUUCCAAAAAAGUUAUAUAUAAGACUAGAUCAGGUCUACCUUAGAUUAGACUACUAGAAGCUUAAUCCUAAACUUUCAUGUUAUGAACUACACAAAAAAAGCAGAUCAGAGGACUGUAGAGAUGAGAUCUUCAUCCCUUCCAACCGAAGCUUGUGGAGUCUCCGAAAGAACCAUCAGACAUACUGUUCUCGAAUAGCUUGCGGAAAGCUUCGUAUUCCUCUGACUGAUGAUUAAGCGUUUCUACAUGGUUGCUUCCCUUGUUGAUGAUACUACGAUCACUCGAAGACUCCCAGCUACUGGCGGCGGUACAGUUCUGUGCCGAUGAUGAGUGAUCAGAAGGCAGCCUAUUCCAGGAACUAUACGCUGUUGGCAAACCAGCAAACAUGUCAUCGAUUGUAUUGUUUACCACUUCUCUCUCGGUCCAACCUGUGUUCUGGCUCUUGUUGCUUGCUCUCUGUAGUAGCUUCAUCAUAUGCUCUUGUAUGAUGCUUCUCUCACAGGUAGAGUAGUUUGAAGAAGGGACGUUUUGGAUGAACUCUGGGACGGAUAUCUGAGAACCUUGAUUGAACUGUUUGUAUAGAUAAGAAGGUUCUGCGAAUCCAGCUACAUUAAGAUCGGAUGCUUGACUCAGUAAUUUCAUGUAACUUCCAUAAUCGGCCAAAGCUGCCUCUUCGGCUGUGGUAAAGACUCUACCUUUUCCCUUGAUUAUGCGGUCAUCCUUUCUCAGCAAGUCAGAUUCCUCGGUUGGUUCCUGGACAUUCGCCGAGAACUUCUCAGUGUAAGUCUUCAAACUCUCUGCAAAUAUGACAUAUCAGAUGUUUUGCCGGUGAGAAACUCAGAUGCUCAUUACUAGUUACAUACCAAGAAGAUGUUCACUUACCUAUGGCUCCAAUCUUGUUCUGGCAACUGAAAGUCAUCAAGUCUUUCAUACUAUUCACUAUUUCAGCAAUCUGUCAACGUUACAAUAACCGGAGAGUGUUAGUGUAGUGUACCAUCAAGCGAAUUUAUACAAGUCCGCAAUACAAAAAUGCACCUGCAAGCAUCGGAUGUAUCGCUUGGGAAAACCUAUGUCGCCAGCAAGCUGCGAUUCGAAACUUCGCUCAAGACUGCAUCCAGCUGCCAACAACCUGCAUCAAUGCGAGCGACUCAUGACUCGGUUUAGUUCCAAUGUCAAUCCAAAGCUAGCGAACCAUUUAUUUCAGAUUUUUGCAGUUCACAUGGUAUGGUGGAACUUUGAGAGAUUCUUACACAUUGCUAUUUUCUCGUAGAUUAGGUGGGGUACUUCCUCGUCCACCACCAUCAAUUGCUUUCUGAUACUUCUGUGCAGUACGGAUGAAAUCAUUAACCUGAAAUGGAUAUGAGUGGUUGAAUAUGGUUACGAUUUCUAACUCGGUAACAAUAAACGCUACGAAAAUCGUAAAGGAUCGGCAUGCAAGAUGGGAACUGUGGCUGACUCGAGUAGUCGAGUACCUGAGACAAAACUAAGCUUUGAGGCAACAAUUCUUCAUGCUCCUUUGAACAAAAUUCUCAGCAAGAUAUCUAGCAAAAAAAAGGAAAGUCGAGGUAUAAAAGUUCAUCUGUAACUCCGGUCUCGAACUGUAUUUUGGUAAGCCUAGGGAGAACUUCAAAGGUCGCCUCUGCCGGUGAAGAAGGCUCAUUAACAAAUCAUUUCAAACGAUAAAGAUAUUGAAGUCCUGCAGAUAUAACAGAAAAGAAGGGGCUAUGACUGAGUACAAAAAAUGUUGAAAAGUUAUAUCCUUACCGAAGCCUCUUCCAGAUGUAGAACCACAUAGCUCACAGUGCCAUGCAUCCUGGCCAAACAAGGUUAACUCAUUAGACGAAUUGUUCUAAUCACACGAAAUUCUUAAUGUCAUUCAUCCUCAGACUUCAAGGAAGCUCGAGAAACCAAUUUCAUUUUGUACAGAAUAGAGAUACAAAGAUAGAAUAUGUACUUUGAUUUUCUACAUGCAACUGUUUCGAGGUUUCAGCGAAAAAAGAAUAAAUCUUUGCAUGUAAAGAAAAGCAUUAACAUAAAUCAAUUUACGGGUGAGAAUCUUGAAUCUAACCAUAGCUGCCUGAACGCUAUCACAUUUAGACAAGCACCACCUUUUCUUGGCACAUGGUGCAAAAUACUCUGCGACAAACUUCCUCCAGUAACAUAUUUCAUUGCUCUACAGGAAAAUGGAAAGGAAAUGGUUUUCGUUAGACAUAAUCCACAAAUAAAGACUUGAACCAAUAUAAGUAAUGGUUUAGCAUAAGAGCUUCCAACAGAAAUUUGUAUCCAGGCACAUUGUCAAGAUAGUAACUUACCGAUGGCCUAUGCUGAAGAUGAUACAUGUACUGCAUUACCCGACGGAAGCAUACGUUGCCAUUGAAAAGCUGUGGAGCAGGAUGUGCACGUUUGCAGGCAAGUUGUUGAAGGUAUUCCUUUACCUGCUUCUCCUGCUGGAGUUGCCUCAAGUCAACUCCCGGUAAAUGUGGCGAUAUCUGAAAAGUUCUCUUCUGACUCGAAUUCUCCAGCAGGGGAAUGCCAACUUGUGGCUGAGGAGAAACUGAAUUCUGCUGCAGUAGAUGCUGCAUUACUUGCUGUUGUAAGAAAGCAUCUUGCUUGGUUUCCAAUGUGUUUCCUAUUUGUGUCUGACUUGAAGCUGAAAGCUCUUUCUUGGUGGGAUCAAUAGUUGACUUCUUCUUCGGUAAUCUAGCCUGAGACGUACCUUGCUGCUGUUUCCUUUUAGCCACUUGUGCUCGCUUUUGACUUUCGUAUGAUUCCUGCUGCACAACUGAGGAGUCGCUUGUUGUGGUAGAAGCUGCCAAUUUCAAACAAAAAGCGACAUUGACAAUAAAAUCAAAGAUUCUCGUUCAAUGUCUAUUGGAUUCCAACUAGCAGCAUAAACAAAACUGUAAGCUCAAGAAGAUGUCCGAUAUACAAUCUAAAACCUACAUGAAGCAUUCACAAUGGAAGCUGCUACGUUGUGGAAACGCCCUUCUUUCUGCAUCAUAUUGUCUCCAGUGACAUUAGCUGAUGCCAAGCACCGCAAUGCCAUGAGAUAACUGGGAUCCAAAAAAGCCUCUGAUGCCAUCUUUCUUACUGCAUUUGCACAAUGAAAACAAGUCGUUGGAAAACGCCCCAUGCAAGUCAUUCCACACAAAGGGUAUACAGAUAAUCAUAAGCAGGAGUAAUGGACAAUGUGCAAAGAUUAUUUUGCUAAAUAACUACGAUGCUAGCAAGCAACAACAAUGUGAUUAUCAUAACCUUCUGUACCCACCAAUUCCCAAUCUUCAAAACAAUAUCCCAAGGGGGGUUGAAACCUAAAUUGGCCAGUAGAAUCAACACUGCACCAGAAACAAGCAAAACAGCCUUAAAAUUUAAUAAAGAAACCAGCUUAGGCUAAAGCUUCGACAUACCACUCUCAACUCCGCUGAUGGUUUCCUCAAAGGAGUUCCGCGAAAUUACAGCCACGAUAAAGAAACCGAAAAAAGGCACCAUACAUAUCACUUAAAGAAGAAGAACCCUACUAUUUCAAAGCAAGACAUCUAACAAAGCAAAAACCACAGAAAUGGGUAUGGUGGGACUCCCGUACUGGGAAACGCUCCAAAUUUGAAAACCCCUUUAGCUUUAUUUUGCCUUUUGCUUGCUUUUCCUUUUACCACAGACUCAAUCAACCAUUACCAACGAACAAAACCACCAGAACGAGAAGAGAAUCAAGCUGGUGGGUCUCUUCGAUGUUUUACAUAGUAUCCAAAGAAAAGAGACUAAGCAUCAAAAGACACGGACCCAAAGCGGAGAGAAAAAGGCAGAAAGUAGAAACAGAGAAUGGGAUUCUUUACCAAUCCCGCUGUAGCAAGAUUCUCCUGCAAAGCUCGCUCCUUUUUUGGCUCUCCACUACCACUGAUUGUUCUGGUACGGAACCGCCAUGCGCAGAGCUAGAAAACCCACCGAGUGAGUAGACGAAAAAUGAGAAGCAAACAAGCAAUUUUCAUAUAUAUAUUAUUCAUUUUUAUUUUGAAGUUUAAAAUCCAAAAUUCAUUUUCUUUUCUGACACAGUUCUCGAGGUGGCCGUUCACCUGGGAGAGCGGGAAAAGGAGCCGCCGACUAAGGUGACCGGCUAGUGCCNNNNNNNNNNNNNNNNNNNNNNNNNNNNNNNNNNNNNNNNNNNNNNNNNNNNNNNNNNNNNNGAGGUGAAAGGGUCCCCGCCGACUCAGGUGACCGGCUAGUGCCGGUGGGAAUUUCCCUCCUAGUAACAGGAUGGCAGUCGUCGGAACUGAAACCGGACACGUGUGCUUACGGGAUAAGCCACGUAGUCGGUUUGGCUUACGGGAGAAAGGAGCUGUGCGUCGUAUUCUUCGUGUCUAAAUGUUUUAGACCUUGCGUAUACACAUUAUUUACAUAAUCACCACUCUAUAUCUGGGCCUUGAGCCUUUUUGUCGACCGUUGGGUUGUUGUGGUUAUGGGCUAAAAGUCCAGAGAGCUUGUCAGCCCAACAUGUGUUGUAUUCAGUUGCAUUACACGAUUGGCUUUGAAACAUUGUUAGGCACCUACUUUGUCUCUCAUUUAUGGGAUUACGAGUUCGAUCAAAAUUGAACAUAUUUUUUAUUCGUUAUCUGUUAUUCUAUGUAAGCUUUAUAAUAGGUAUGUGGUAUAGUACAGUUGGUAUCACAACGUAUUGAAUUCUCAUUGAGUCUGAUACCAUAGUGCAUCGAUUUCAUAUAAGCAUUAUGAUAGGUUUGUGGUGUAGUUUAGCUAGUAUCAUAGUAUACUCAUUUCAAAAAUAUAUCAAAUCCGAUAUCAAUUACAAACUUACAACUACAAAUUAAAUAAUGUAAGAGCGUUUUGAGAUGUGAUUCAAAAUCUAAUUUUGUAGAGUUGUUCAAUUGAAGUUAGGAAGGAAAUGAAAACAUUAAAAUAUGAUGGAAUUGAACAUGGAUUAAUGCAUAGAAGUAUUGGAAUUCUAAGUUUAUAAUUGUAAAUAAGUUCAUAAAAGGAUACCUAAUUAAUCCUACAACUUUGGUUCGGAUUCAUGUACCUAUUCAAAAAAAAUUAAUGCUACAUAUACAUUGAUAUUAAAAAUUGACGUUUUGAGACCAUUCUAAUCCAUUAUAUUUUUAUAUUUCAUGUGACCAAAAUGAACAUUUUAAACUUUUAAGACUCGUACAUAAUCUUAGCUAAACUUAUAAGACUAGUUAUGUACAUAUUUGACCCCGUUCACAAAAUUAUAUAUGUGUACAUAGUUUAUUGUAACUAAUGANNNNNNNNNNNNNNNNNNNNNNNNNNNNNNNNNNNNNNNNNNNNNNNNNNNNNNNNNNNNNNNNNNNNNNNNNNNNNNNNNAUCAGUUGUGUAUCUUAUCAGAAAGUUAAUUGUUGGAUAAUUUAUCGAAUGAUUGCCAUGAUCAUUGUGUCUGUGUGAGCACUCGAUUCAACAUUCAUUCCCUAAAUAAACAAGUUCAUUGGUUUGCGACUUGGUCUAGUACUAAUAACGGGAACACAUGUACCAAUAGACUCACAAGUCUUGUUUUCUUUGUUAUGGUAAAACAAAUCCUUUUAAGAUACUUCAUCAUUUACUUCCAAAGAGCAAUGGUCAUACUUGCAUCAACCACUUAGUUAAGUUGAAUUGAUGUUAGAAAAUAUUGUGGCCUUGUGGGAGGAAAUAGGAAGAAAAAAAUAGCGAAUAUUUAGCCGGUUUAACUGUCUAAUGAAUUCAAACAUAUUUAUUAUUAUUUAAUUUAACUUUAAAUAAAUGUGUACGAACAAUUUAGAUAGUAACUCACUCGAAAGUGGAUGAACUAUCAAACUCAUCCAAAUCUAUUAUAUCUUUUAUACUCACGUGAUAAUAUUUAUAUUUUUCGACAUUCACCUCAAAUCACUCAAUUCUUUUAAUUUUCAUAUUUUUGUUCAUCAAUUCGUACAAAAUUCUCAACCUCAAUUUUUUUACUAGGGAUGACAUCUUCAUAUAAUAAUUAUGAAUUUUUUUAAAUCUUAAUUUCAAUAUUUUAAUUAAAUGUGAAAAUCNNNNNNNNNNNNNNNNNNNNNNNNNNNNNNNNNNNNNNNNNNNNNNNNNNNNNNNNNNNNNNNNNNNNNNNNNNNNNNNNNNNNNNNNNNNNNNNNNNNNNNNNNNNNNNNNNNNNNNNNNNNNNNNNNNNNNNNNNNNNNNNNNNNNNNNNNNNNNNNNNNNNNNNNNNNNNNNNNNNNNNNNNNNNNNNNNNNNNNNNNNNNNNNNUAAAUUCUUAUUGCUAAGAUAGCUUUCUCGUGCUGCCUAUUCGAUUAUAUUCAUAUAGUUUGUAGUGGGUGUUAUCGACGACUUUCUCUUGAGAGUUCAAAAAAUUUAAGAAAGAUAUCAAAAGGAUGUUACAUCACUUGGACGUUAUAGAUUGAAAAACAAUGAUAUUUGUAGACAUUUACAUAUGUUUACUUCUAUUUAUCGUCAAAAAGGUCAAAUCAUUAUAAAUAAGAAUUUACAUGAAAUUCUAAAUCCAUUUUAAAGUGAAAGAUUAAACCCGACAAUUUCUAACUAUUUCGUCUGCCAAUUAAUUCACCCUCAUAUAUGAAUAAAGGAACAAAUUAUAAGAUCAUGUUGGGAUAGAAUCACUCUCAUAUGAUAAGACCAAGUGUAAUAUUGUCAAGGCUACGUCUCUUCUUGCUCCUUAAUAACUUUAAUAAACGUUAAACAGUCUGAUGACAAACCAUCAAAUUAAAUUAUAACUAAACUUAAAUACGAUACUUCCGAAUUACCAACCCAACUACCACCAUCAGCUGACCAACUCCACCGAAAACCAUCAAAUUAAUCUACUCAUGAACAAGAAACUCAAAUCAACCCAACAAAUCUGAAAUAAAAUACCAAUCAACACUCAACAGAAAUAAAAUAAAAUAAAACUUUAAACAGGAGGGCGAAAUGGUAAUUCAACGACUUCAAUAAGAAACCGAAAAAACCAGGCGUUUGUUUUUAUAUACUAUUAUAAAGUGUGAAGCUUUUCUUCGCCAUUACCAAAUCAACACAAAAGAGGGGGAGGAAGAAGAGAACGAUCUAAUUCUUCUUCCUGAGGUCCUGUCCGAACUCAAGCCAACCAUGGAUUUAGACAUGCAAUCCAUGGCGGAGACGAUCGGGGUUUCGGUCCCCGUCCUCCGCUUCCUCCUCUGCUUCGCGGCGACGAUUCCGGUGAGUCUGUUCCACCGUGUCGUCCCCGGGACUCUCCCCAAGCACAUCUACGCAGCUGCGUCCGGUGCUAUUCUGUCGUAUCUGUCAUUUGGGUUCUCCUCCAAUCUCCACUUCUUGGUCCCCAUGUUGCUCGGUUAUGCCGCCAUGGUCAUCUCUCGCGCCCACUGUGGAAUCAUCACCUUCGUUGUUGGAUUUGGUUAUCUCAUUGGCUGGUGAGUUUUUUUUUCUGGGUUUAAUUUCUGAAAAUUAUUGAUUGAGUUUAAUUAAUGGGCAUUUCCUCGAUCGGUGGUUGUUGUGGUCACUGGUCAGUAAUGUCCAGAAGUUAUCUGCUCUGGUAGUGUUUGGUGGGUUCAAUUAAUGGCAUUGGUCAACUACUGCUUUGAGCUAAGGAGCAUGAAAAAAAAUUGCUGCUUGAAAUUACUUGAACUCUUUCUUUCAUCUGCUCGCUCCCAUAAGUCAGUUGUUUGAUUCCAGAAAAGUUUAUCCAAUCCGUCUGUUUGCUUGGAGGAUCUGAGUUCACUGACUCGGGGAGGACAAACUUUCAUAUCAGACAAAAGAGAAAUCUGGUUAUUGGAAUUAUGGAUAAGAUGAGUUUGGCUAGGGAUGGGUGUUUAUCUCUUACCAAUUACAUGGUUUCCCCAUUGUCUCAUAAAUGACUAGUCUUUACUAUUUGCAUUGUACAAUCAUGUACGUAUGCUGCUCUGGUACUCUUGUGUCCAAGUAAGAGAUUGAAGUUUGCACUUGUCUACCAAGCAUUGUGCAAGUAUGGUAAUAUUGGAGGUUUAAAAAAAUUUGAUGCCAGCACCUUUCAGUCAAAGCAUGGUUUUUAAAAUUGGUGUGAAUUAAAGUAAGGGACUUUUUAAGAGUUAUUUGAUUGUUGAUGCAUUCGUUGCAGCCAUGUAUAUUACAUGAGUGGUGAUGCAUGGAAAGAAGGAGGCAUUGAUGCUACUGGUAAGUGCGACUUUAUAUCUACUGUCUGUCCUAUGUUAGGUGGAUGUUGUUUGUUUGUGUAAAAACUUGAAUCCCUCCUUGCUAAUGUUAUUUCAUACUCAAAAUUAGGGGCACUAAUGGUGUUAACACUGAAAGUCAUAUCAUGCGCCAUGAACUACAAUGAUGGUUUGCUAAAGGAAGAAGAAAACUUGCGGGACGCUCAGAAGAAAAACCGCUUGAUAAAGCUUCCGUCGUUGAUCGAGUACUUUGGUUACUGCCUUUGCUGCGGUACACACUUUGCUGGUCCGGUUUAUGAAAUGAAGGAUUACAUUGAGUGGACGGAACGGAGAGGGGUGUGUUACUACAUCUUUUUUUGUGUGAUUUUUGCACUUGCUGCUGCCUAUGUGUGAAAUCCGGUAUUUAAAUCUACAUUCUGGUGAUUGCAGAUUUAUGCAGGACCCUGGCCAUCCCCGUUUUUGGCAACUCUACGAGCCCUAUUUUAACCAACUCUACGAGCCAUUAUUCAAGCUGGCAUUUGCAUGGGCCUGUACUUGUAUCUUGUGCCUUACCAUCCUUUGUCCCGGUUCACUGAUUUGGUAUAUCAAGAAUGGGGCUUCUGGAGACGAUUGAGUUAUCAGUACAUGGCCGGCUUCACAGCACGCUGGAAGUAUUACUUUAUCUGGUCAAUUUCAGAGGCUUCUAUGAUUUCCUCUGGUCUGGGUUUCAGUGGUUGGACAGAUACUUCACCAGCAAAGCCGCGAUGGGAUUAUGCUAAAAAUGUUGAUAUUCUCGGUGUUGAGUUUGUCAAGAGCGGAGUUGUCUUGCCUCUUGUGUGGAACAUCCAAGUCAGCUCAUGGCUUCGCUACUGUAAGUUUAUAUAACUGAUAAGGAAAGUUCCCAUAUCAAAGUCCUUCAUAUUUUUGUGGUCAUUCCAGCUGGCAACUAUCCCUUGUUUGCUUCAGUUUUUUGUUAAUGAUCUAUUUUUCAUGAUUGAAAGAACAUUUAUCAACUUGGAACACUUUGGUCUGUAACAGAUGUCUACGAGAGACUCGUUAAGAAGGGACAGAAGGCUGGUUUCUUUCAGUUGUUGGCCACACAAACUACCAGUGCUGUUUGGCAUGUGAGUAUAAGUUUUUGGUUAUUAUAUUUGCUUCCUAUACUUCCUUCUGCCUAUAUAGGCAUUUACCUUGAACCAACGCUUUUGUGUGGAGUAGAUAUAAGCUUGGAGAAAGUGCCUUCUGAUAGAAGGGUUUUUUCCGAUAGGGGAUAGUGACUCUAGGUUCAAACUCAGGACAUAGUGGAUAUCUUAUCAUAAAUUGAACAUUUGACGAGAAUCUCAUUUAGCUUAAACUUGAUAUCUCUUCCACAAAGGUUUAAACCUGGUCAAAAUGUAUGGGGUAACUUGCAAUUCUGAAACUUGAUUGUUGUUUGCUUCGAUCUAUGCCGUCUUACUUUGUUUUUUGUUGCCAGACGUUUUUGGUAUCCUUCCGAAUCUAGAGCACUUAUUUUUGCCAUGUUGGUUAUUACUUAUUAGUGCUAUAUUCCAACUUCCUCCUCUCACUUAAAAGGCGGACACUUCCUUUCCAUACGAGAGGAUAGAGAGUGGCAGGGGGGAGGAUAUUAAUAUUAUUUGGACGGAUUCUAUGGUUUUGAGUCGAUUUUGCAAGUUAACAAUGCCAUCUUAUUGUAACGAUGAUUCUUAACCUCAUUAACUUCAUAAUCUGUCUUAAGUGAUGUAUAUCAUGAAAAAAAUUCUGAGAUCUUACAUUGUUUGGCUGCGAAGAUGGUUCAGGGAUGUACUUUGUUGACUAUAACUUGCAAUGUUUAUGUGAUCCUCACUUUGCUAAUUUGCUUGCAUGCUUCUCCGUUGAGCGUUGUAAUCAACUUUUCAUAUGUCCUUCUGCCAACAAACAGGGGCUAUAUCCUGGUUACAUCAUCUUCUUUGUUCAAUCUGCACUGAUGAUUGCUGGAUCCAGAGGUAUUAAAUAUGAAUGCCUUUCCUCUUACUUGUUCUAGAUUCAAAACCAUUUUUCCAGUACCAUAUAUAAUUUCAAUGGUGCUUUCAAUGCAGUUAUAUACAGAUGGGAACAAGCCUCAAAGGGUCUAAUCAAGAAGGUUUUCGCUUUAGCAAACUUUGCUUACACAGUCCUCGUCUUAAACUACUCCUGCGUCGGGUUCAUGGUUAGUCUUCUCUGCAAUCCCUCAAAUUGGAAUAAGCCUCGUUAACCAUUAAUUCCUUAACUCAUCAGGAUUGCCCCUCUUCCUCAGGUACUGAGCUUGCACGAAACAAUUGCUGCUUACAGCAGCGUAUACUACAUCGGAACGAUUCUGCCCAUUGCAUUGAUCCUUCUCGGCUCUGUAAUCAAACCACCAAGGCCUGCUCGAUCGAAGCCCCGAAAGGAAGAAUAAGGUUUAAGAAAGAAACCCUCUCCUCCGGAGAGUGCACAAAAUUCAUCAGGAGAACCUUACAGGACCAAGCUGCCUUGUACCAUUUCUUUUUUCCUCGCUUUGAUUUCGAUACUCUCACUGUAGUUUCGAGUUUAGACUUUAGUUCCUUAUCCAGUCACACUUUCUUCUGUAUUUCAAUCAAUUGAUGCAAACAAUGCACCACCAAAAAAGAGCUAGAAACUGAAGGAAGAGUAACCAGUUAUAGAUCUGCUUUAGAAAUACAUAAUUUCAGGGGAAGUCGUCAAUUCUUGAAAAUUCAGUUCAAUCUCAUACAUAAUUUCGACUUUCGAGGAAGUCGUCAAGUCUCAAAUGAUCUUGUUUUCUAUAGUUCUUCUACAAAUUAUAACAACUUUUCUGACAGAAGAUUAACAUAAUUUAGAAGGACAAAACUUGGGCCAGAAUCUGGAAGAUUAUGACGUUCUCUGUUUCUUGUUACUUUUGUUUUUCUUAGUUAGCAAACCUUUGUCUGCUAAUGCUUUCAACUUCUGCUUCUUCCUUUCUUCAACCUUUUCGUCAAUUCCAUCAUCCAUCAUCUUCAUUGUCGCCACACGUUUAGCCUUAUAUACCUGCAUUAUUGAGUUCAUCCCAUAAUCCACAUUACCAUUCAGAAUUACAAACAAUACAAGCUUAACAGGUCAUGGUUAUCAUUCAAAACAAAGACUGUACCUUUGUAAUCUCCAAAAGGACUUCCUUCUCUUUGCACUCAAACUCCUCAAGCUUCUUGCCAACGACAUCCUCAAUUUUGUGAACCAGUUGGACAUCAUUCUAACAGCAAAAAGAAAAAAAGUCUGGAUUUAGGUCAUGCAAAGAUGCUAACCGACUCACUAUGGAACAGAUGGCGGCAGUAAACGCUUUUAGAUUUACCUCGGUCACGAAACUUAUAGCUAACCCUCCCCGGCCAGCUCUUGCUGUACGCCCCACACGAUGAACAUAGUCUCUAGGAUAUCUGCAAUGAAAAUGACAGUCAACAAACCCGUUUCUAGAGAAACUUUGUGACAAAAGCAGACAAUAGAUAGAAAUCUUUGAUAUAAGGUAGAUUUUAAUUUUAACCUUGGAAGAUCGUAGUUUAUAACAAGAUCGACAGUCUGAAUGUCCAGACCCCGACUGGCGACAUCUGUUGCAAUCAAUACAGGAACUUUCUCGGCCUUGAACUCAUGCAGCGCAGAGAGUCUCAGGGACUGUGCAUUGUAGGAAUGUAGUGCUGCAGCCUUCUGGCCAAGUACUUCCAGUAGCGAACUUAGAAGUUGGCAACUCCUGUUUCCAUGUUCACAAACAUAUAGGAGACAAUAAGGGUCUGAACAGUUCGGAUCAAACCAAAGCAAAUGAAGCAGUUAUGAUUGCGACAGAGACAAAUAUAAUGACACUACAGAAGCUCCCUCCCUAGGAGAUUCCACCAGAGGAAAAGGAAUGAAGUUCGAUUGAAUCUUAGUUCAAUAGAACUCUGAAAAGUAGACACACAGAAGUGAUGGUUACAUACCAAGUCCUCCAAGCAAGAAAUGAGAAACUAACAUAUAACCAAACUGAAGAUUCCAGCACAAGUACGAUUCCUCUCUUAUGUUCAGCAAAUGAAAGACUCUAAAACGUAUACAUAGGGAGAUUUGGAUUUAAACCUGCAAGUGGAAACGAAUAUCAUAGCUGAUCGAAUACCCAUCUCUUCCAUCCUGGACAGAAUAUAGGACAGAUAAACCUCCUUCACGUUCUUAGGUAUGAAAACAUACUGUUGCUUCAGAGUCUCAACAGUCUUAAACCCCUCAUACGCCUCGUAGAAGUACGCCUUAUUUGCCGAAACCUCCAGCAGCGUCUCCAAAUCACUCGUCAUUGUUGCAGAAAACAAAAGUGUCUGUCGAUUCUUCGGUAAGCACCGAAACACCGUUCUCAAUUCCGCCUCAAACCCGGCAUCCAAAAGCCUAUCCGCCUCAUCCAGAACUAGGAACUGACAGAAAACAUUUGAGCAAUUCCAUACAGAGCUAAUAAAUUUCUCUAAUGCUAACAAAUAUUGAUUCUCAGUUUAUUAUUUAUUACCUUAGUUCUGGAGAAAACAGCAGGCAAAUCAGGAUUAUCUUCCAUCAAGACCUUAAUCCUACCAGGAGUGGCAAUGACGACAUGAGGCCUACGCAUCAACAUCUGAGAUUGGUUCAGCAUAUCCAUACCGCCAACCACAACCGUACACCUCAAUUGCAAAGAAGAACCAAGUGCUUUGAACUGCUCAGCCAACUGAAAAGCAAGCUCCCUGGUGGGAGUCAUCACAAGCGCCGCCACUCCGUAAGGAUCCUCCGCCAGACGGUGGAGGAUCGGGAGAGCGAAAGCGGCGGUUUUCCCACUUCCGGUCUGGGCCAAUCCGAGGACGUCACGGCCAGCUAGGAUUUUGGGGAUGCAGUGAGAUUGAACCGGAGUUGGGCGCUUCAUGCCCAGCUCUUUGCAUGUUUGGAUUGCCCAAUCCGAGAGGCCCAAAUCUUCGAAGGAAGUGCCGUCGGAUUCUAAGGCGGCGGAUGAUGAUGAUGUUUCUUUCUCAAUUUUGGGAAGUUCCGAUGGAAGGCUGGGGCUUUCCGGUUUAACGACUGGAAUCGAUUUUUUCAGGGGUCUGCGGGGUUUGGAGAAGAGUUGGAAACCUCGAUCAACGAUGGUUUCUUCUUCAUGGUCUUCCAUGGCUACUUGCAGCUGCGUACGGCUCGGUCGAGCCGGAAUUUUCAGCAGUGCAGGUUUGAACUGGAGAACCAGGGCAACCAGCUGAAGGGGGAGAAACUCCGAGAUACCGGCGAGAGGAGAAAGAAGUACAACAGAGGAUGGAGAAUCAAAGCUCUGAAAUCUGAAUAGUGUUGGCGUUCCGGUGGGAAGAGGUUUAGCUGCUGCGGCUGCCUGGUUUUGGACUGUACGGACUUCUCCGCAAAAUGCUGGGCCGAGAUGGGCUUUAGACGGUGGCCCUUCAAAGCCCGACUUUACUUGAACCAUCGACAUAAAUUACAGAACCGAGUCAAGCCGAGUUUUUAUUUGGUCUGGGUAGACUCAAAUUUGGGGUUGAAUUCGAUUAGUGCUUUUGCAUUCGAGUUUGAGCUCGUCUCAACUGGAAAUUGUGUAAUGUGCUGUGUACGACUUGAAAUUAUCAUUAACAAAUUAGUUCGAUAAUCACGAAGAGCUCAGCUCGAUAACUAUAAUAACCAAACUCGACUCAGCUCCAAUCAAACAUGUUUAAUAUGGACUGAUCUGGUCUUAAAGCUCGUUGAUGGCCCUAGGUCCCAACUCCCAACCGAGAACUAUGAACGAUGUCCUGAUAAAGAGCUCUGCUAGGAGCUGGUUCGGUGGCUAUAAACGAACCAUCUCGCAAGCCUAACUCAACGGACGGAAUGACUCGAGCUCGACUCUAUCCGAAUCCUGAAGAAAACCAAAUGACAUUUCUCCCUUUACUUUCAUGACUAAGACAAAUUUUAAGAGAAAACCGAAAAGAAACAUAAACUGCCUCUGCUGGAAGAGUCGUCAUGGACGUAAACAGACAAACCCAAAAAUCUGACGAACAGACUUUUUCAAAGUUCCUGAACAACCCAACAGAGAUCAUGCCAAGCUCUAGUAGAUUUCGAGCUUUGCUAGUCGCUACUAUGGAAGUUUGAGCAGCUACACAUUGACUGGCAUGUCUACCUUCCUGGGACGAUGGAAGAUGUGUUUGUUUCCUGGGAAAGCAGUACGAGAGAUGUCUACCAGUGCCUUGAAACUGUACGGCUCGUGCAUGGAUACCUCUGACAACACUUUCCGGUUCAGCUGGAUGUUCUCUUUCUUAAGCCCAUGCAUGAAGUGUCCAUAAUGAACCUACAGGACAGAUCAUUCCAUGGGCGAUCAUUGCGCAAUAUAGCAUACACAAUCAAGUGAUCAAUCGUAGUACAGCAUCAAACUCGAUGAGUACCAAUCGGUAAAGAAAAGUCGAGAUAUGAGAAGUUACUUACAUUAUGCUGCCUGGUGCCAGCACUGAUUCGUUGAAUCCACAGCGAGCGCAUGUCACGCUUCUUGUUCCUACGGUCCCUGUAGGAAUACUGCAACGCCUUCUCAACCCUCUCUCUCGCUAUCCUGAUGCAGUUCUUUGCCCUCCCCCUAAACCCUUUUGCUAGCUUGAAAAUCUCCUUCUUGUUCAACAUUUUUUUGACUUUCUUUUUUGUACGGUCUACAAGAUAGGUUCCCCAAAAUAAGAUUCAAAGUUUGGUACGAAAAACAGCUGAAUCUAAUUAGACCAGCAAACUGAUAAACUAAGAGUGGACAUCACAUCGUCGUCGAAUUCCACCAUUUACUUCCAACCAGAAAGAAGUAAAGAUCAUGAACGUAACACUAGUUUCUGUAUGGGCAGUAGGGAUGGCAAUGAACCGAUACAGGGCCGGUGUUAUAUCUACAGUUGCACCUGCUCAUAAUUCAUAUACCAAUCCCCAAUUCUCAUUUGGUUUGAUUGUUUCAAUGCAAUAGUUAAGGACAGCAGGAAACAAUGGAAAUCACCAAAGAAGACAACAGCACCCUUCAGAGAAAACGGGAAAACAUCAUAACUGGUUUGAUUACAAUUAGAUUCACCAUCAUAACAACAUGAGCAGAAACUGCAGGGAGACUGUGGUGGAAACUAUGAAUUGCAAUUUUCAUUCCAUUAUUGCAUUUUGAUUGAACUGCAGAAGUGAACUACGAUAAAAGCAUUAAACUUGCAAGGAUCCUUUCAAAAGUAAUUCCAGGUCCAAAAGCCAGAAUCAAGUCUCAUUCACUUUGUGAACUGUAAAGUGGAGCAUUUAGCCCAAGAAUAAAAAUAUAGAAACAGAGAUAACGAUCUAGAUCAUCUGUUCAAUAUUGGGGUCAUUUUACUUCUCAGAAUGAAUAAUAGUAAUCAUCCAUAAGCGGAAAAGAGAGCAAUUUCAUUUUCGCAAAUACCCAGAAUGAAUAGCAAGCAAGAGAAGUAAAUAAUACAUCAAUACCUAGUACCUCUUUGAAAUGAUGCUUCUUGGACGAAACUGAUGAAAGGCCAAGAUAGAACAGCUAACCAGGGAGAAUCAAAGAUUUCAACUGGAGAAGCAGGGAACCGACUGAUAGUGUAGAAGCUCCGAGAUACGGCGAGAGGAGAGAGAAAGAAGUAUGGGGAGACGGUGUAAGGCGGCGGAACAGACAAACAGGGGAUGGAGCGGCAGAGUAAAGGUUUCCGGUGGGAUUUCAAAGCUCUGAAUGGUGUCGGCGUUCCGGUGGAAUAAGGUUUAGCUUCAGCUGCCUCGUUGUGGACUGUCAGUCCUUCUCCGCAAAAUUGCUGGGCCAGUCUGGGCUUUAGACUGCGGCCCUUCAAAGCCCAACUUCACUUCAACCAUCUAAACAAAUCACGAACCGAACCGAGCCGAACUUUUGCUCAGUUCAGGUUCAUCUCGGUUAUUUUUUCUGGUGUCAAGCUUGACUCAAGUUCGGUCCUUACUUUUUUAUCUGAUUUCGAACUCGUCUCAACUAAAAAUUUCGGUUCUGAUUCAAUUUGAAAUUACCGUUAACAAGUUAGCUCGAUAACCAUAACGAGCUCAGUUUGAUUCAAAACAAAAAACCAACUUUUAUAAACCGAAUUUGAGCUUGUCCUCCAUUCAAACAAGUUUACAAUGCAUUAAUCUGACGUCAAAGCUCAUAAUCAAAGUCACCAACCACUAGUUGACCCUUAUUAAGUUGAUUCGUGGACUAUCUUAACCGAGCCACCUCGCGAGCUACAAACGAUCCAUCUCAUAAAACUAGUUCCAUGAGCUCUCGAACCAAACAAAAGUUGGCUCGAACUCAGCACAUUUAAUGAACUGUUUUGUUGUUUUUUCGAACGGACUGUGGCUCGACUCGUCAACCCGCCCUUAAAAGGUUGUAUCUUGACUCCAAGUUACCCAAUUCACCCCUAUUGCAGAUCUCCAAGGCACCAAAAACUCAUAUUGGGAUUGCAAUGGAUUCAGACUACAGGCUACACAUCAACACAAAGUUCCUUCUUUCAGACAAAAUACAGAACAAAUUUGACAUCAAAAGUUAAAAAUAGUCUUUAAUGGCCACCACCUAGCUACAAGGGUUGGUGUCAAUUCAAGCAACGACAGAAAGUUCUGCAACAGUAAAUGCAGCAGACCCAGUUCCUCUUCCACUGGUACCAGAACCCUACACAUGGCUUUUCCACAGCUUCACAUUCAUGAAUUUGCAGUGAUGAUUUAAGUAGUAGGCCAUUUGCCUGGUCAAAAGAGAAGAUCUUUACACUUUGUUAAUCAUCAGAAUCAUCAGUGGGCCAAUUUCAAAUUUCCCCAGUUUGUCUUUACUAAACCUUUUGAACAAUACAGCUAAUCUGCAGUACUACUGAGAUUGGACAUCUCAGCUAACCCUGUAUUGCAAAAUUGAAUACAUAUUUAUGAGGCAAAAGACAAACGUAUCACAUUGCAUUAAUCUAAUCGUCCAUUGUGAUUAUUAAACUAUGUUCAUAAAUCAUAAUCCCUUCUCUUCAAGUAAUUCUCUUGCUUUUUCCUCCACCCUUUAUUCUUCAUUUCCCCUUGUUUCCAGUUUCUCUCUCUCUCUUAGGACAUGAUCUUCUGAAGAUACUUUCUCCCCAGCCAUUGUUGCUGCUGGCUUCAUGAGAAAGAUUCAUCCUUUUUCUUCAUGCGUAUCUGGGUUACCUCAAACUCAACCAAAGUUUCCAUCUUUUCUGUCUCUUUUUUCCAUUUGAUGAACAUAUGGAGGAGGCAAUCAAGUCAAUGAUGAGAGUUGAAGAAUUGGAAAUCAGACCAGGAGGAAUGUUGGUACAGAAGAGGGAUUCUUCUGAAUCCAGAAAUCACAGUUACAGCAACAAUUCAAUUGUUGUUCCUAUGAUCAGAGUCAAGGUCAAAUUUGGAUCUUCGUAUCACAAUGUUUCCAUCAGUUCUCAAGCUAGCUUUGGUAAAGUUAAGCUUUCCUGAUUAAUUCAAUGGUGUGUACUUAAUUUCUUUGGCUUUUCAUCUAAGUUUUUUGGUGAUGUGUUUCUCUGGCAGGGGAACUGAAGAAAAUGCUGGCAGAAUCAACAGGAGUUCACCAUCAGGACCAGAAGCUGAUGUACAAGAAGAAAGAGAAGGAUUCCAGGAUGUUUUUGGACAUUGAAAGAGUGAAAGAUGGAUCCAAACUUGUUCUAAUCGAGGACAUCAGCAGAAGCGGAAGGCGGCUUCUUGAGCUGAUCAAGACCUCCGGGCUACAGAAGGUUUUGAAAUCCAUUGAGCAAAUAACCAAAGAAGUUGAUACACUUGCUCACAAGGUACAUGUGAAACUUGUUAUAUUGGGGGCUGACAGGAUCCUAUCUCAUGAUUUUUCAGUCAAAUUGGACAGUGAAAAAGCUCUGAUAUCAUAUGGAAGAAUCGUUAUAUCUUAAUAGUUCGAGUUAUUGGGAGAGAUUUGUAAUUAGUUUUAUAGCUUUCCUUUACUUGCAGUAAGCUUCCAUUGUUCAUAAUAAGUUUUGUUGCAGGUGACAUCCUUGGAAGCAACAAGUUCUCGAGGAGGGAUAGUAGCGGAGAUUGACAUUGAUGAUCUAACAGAAUCGUCAAUGUCAAAACUUGUGGAGCUAGAUAGGAUUCUGGUAGUGGAUGGAACCUUAAAGUUGCAGAAGACAACUCAGGUUUUGUCAUAUAUACACAAACACACAAAAGCUUUGUUUCAAAAGUUUGAACUUCUGGAUGAUUAUGAUGAAUUGAUGAUGAUGUUCUUCCCUUUGUAAUGAUCAUAUAGGAAAGGCGGCUUCAGAAGUGCAUAGAGAGUCUUGAUAAGCUGAAGUCAGAGACUUGUUCUGGCAAUCACAACAGCAAAAUGAAGCAAAGGCAAAAGCUUUCUGAAGCAGCUGCGGUCACCACCACAACCAAAUGGGAAAUCUUUGAUUGAUUUCUCAAGUGGGUUUGCCCCUUCUAGAAGGGUUAUAGUAAUCUGAAACAUGUGAAGCUAGCUAGCUAGCUAGCUCAUCAUCAUCUACAGGAGAAAGGGUAAGAUAUGGAUGGUUGAGUUCUGCUGUCAAAUGGGUACUUUAGUUUCUUCACUCUCAUUCAACCACACACAAAGAAUUCAGAAAAAAGUUGUAUUUCAUCAUAUACUUACACAGAGUGCCUUGUAAUUAUUAAUAAAGGUGUUGUCUUUUUGGAUCUUUGCCAUUUGGGUUGGUCGGCUGUGGGAGGAUGCUAAUGAUUAAAUUGUGAAAGAUGCUAACUUGUUAAAAUAUAUUAAACAAUUAUUCAACAAUCCUUCACAAUCACUCGUAUAAAUAUUUAAUGUAAUACUUGAUGAAAUCUUCAAACCCAUCCAAACUCAACUCAAAUCUUUAUAUGAAUGCUUGUUUUAUAUGAAUUCUUGAUGAAACUUGCACGUUUAUCUUAGUUUUAAUUAAUUUAUAUGUGGUUAAUAAUGUACUAUAUUCGUAUCAUAUUUUACUAAUUAGAGUUUUGUAAUCGUUAUGGGUUACCUCACCGGUUCAGGGUCGAACCGGUCCGACCAGUUGGUUGGGUCCGGUUCUGAUAAUAAUGCAAAUAAUAGUCAAAUGAAGUUAAAAAAUAUUUUUCAACAUGUUAAAAUAACACCGAGUAAAUUUGAUUUUUAACUUUGUUUGGUCAUUCUUUACAACGGUUAACAUAAUGACCCGUGAUUUUUUAGCCAUUUCCAACAUAUAUGUGAAUUAUUAGUCGAUUUGAAAAUUUGGAAAUUUUUAUGUGAAAAUGGCCGAAUUCCAUAGGUUAACCCCUUUGGAAAUUGACCAUUUUNNNNNNNNNNNNNNNNNNNNNNNNNNNNNNNNNNNNNNNNNNNNNNNNNNNNNNNNNNNNNNNNNNNNNNNNNNNNNNNNNNNNNNNNNNNNNNNNNNNNNNNNNNNNNNNNNNNNNNNNNNNNNNNNNNNNNNNNNNNNNNNNNNNNNNNNNNNNNNNNNNNNNNNNNNNNNNNNNNNNNNNNNNNNNNNNNNNNNNNNNNNNNNNNNNNNNNNNNNNNNNNNNNNNNNNNNNNNNNNNNNNNNNNNNNNNNNNNNNNNNNNNNNNNNNNNNNNNNNNNNNNNNNNNNNNNNNNNNNNNNNNNNNNNNNNNNNNNNNNNNNNNNNNNNNNNNNNNNNNNNNNNNNNNNNNNNNNNNNNNNNNNNNNNNNNNNNNNNNNNNNNNNNNNNNNNNNNNNNNNNNNNNNNNNNNNNNNNNNNNNNNNNNNNNNNNNNNNNNNNNNNNNNNNNNNNNNNNNNNNNNNNNNNNNNNNNNNNNNNNNNNNNNNNNNNNNNNNNNNNNNNNNNNNNNNNNNNNNNNNNNNNNNNNNNNNNNNNNNNNNNNNNNNNNNNNNNNNNNNNNNNNNNNNNNNNNNNNNNNNNNNNNNNNNNNNNNNNNNNNNNNNNNNNNNNNNNNNNNNNNNNNNNNNNNNNNNNNNNNNNNNNNNNNNNNNNNNNNNNNNNNNNNNNNNNNNNNNNNNNNNNNNNNNNNNNNNNNNNNNNNNNNNNNNNNNNNNNNNNNNNNNNNNNNNNNNNNNNNNNNNNNNNNNNNNNNNNNNNNNNNNNNNNNNNNNNNNNNNNNNNNNNNNNNNNNNNNNNNNNNNNNNNNNNNNNNNNNNNNNNNNNNNNNNNNNNNNNNNNNNNNNNNNNNNNNNNNNNNNNNNNNNNNNNNNNNNNNNNNNNNNNNNNNNNNNNNNNNNNNNNNNNNNNNNNNNNNNNNNNNNNNNNNNNNNNNNNNNNNNNNNNNNNNNNNNNNNNNNNNNNNNNNNNNNNNNNNNNNNNNNNNNNNNNNNNNNNNNNNNNNNNNNNNNNNNNNNNNNNNNNNNNNNNNNNNNNNNNNNNNNNNNNNNNNNNNNNNNNNNNNNNNNNNNNNNNNNNNNNNNNNNNNNNNNNNNNNNNNNNNNNNNNNNNNNNNNNNNNNNNACCUUUACCUUCACAACACUUUCGUAAAUUAAUUUAUAAAUUUUUCAAAAUUAAAUUUCAAUGGAGACGGAUAAAUUCGAAAAAUCAAUUUAGCGGGUAUGAUUCAGAGAUGAAUAUUAUAUUAUCUCUCUCACACCCGCCCAUGUAUACAAUUACAUCAUUUUAUGUAAUAAAUAUAUGCGUUCUAUUUCGUUAUUCUCUCAAUAUAAAUUCUUUCAUAUUUUCCUUUCUCUUUCAACUCAACUUUCCCAAGAAACAUUAUCCUAGUUGAUUUCGGCUAUUGGAUAAAUAAAUCCGAUUUGGGUUUUGAUACCAUUCAGGUGAAAAUUCCUUGGAUAAUCAAAUCCGAUUUGGUUUUCGAUACAAUUAUGUCGAAUAUCCGAACAAGUAUGAUUUAACUCGAUCAACAAAGCCAAUAGUUCUUCAUUUUAUUACACUACCUUUAGCCUAAUUUCCUACUACUUAGUACCAAUAUACCCAAUGUAGGACUUAGUAGGAGACCCAAACCACAAGCUCCCAUCCCCAUCUUCAAAAACUUCACUAACCGAAUCCAACUCCUCCCCGCCUUCACCGUCCACCGUCUUGAUGAUCUCGCCGUGUUCAUUCACCUUCACGGCCACCGGAGCACCGGUACUGGUGACAUGACCGGUGGUCGUGACAUUGCCAAUGCCGGGGUUCAAUCCGACCCAGAAGUGUUCCUCCCCAUCAGGGAUAGUAGGAGCCCUCCUUAUGUUGUCGGGGAACCCUGGAAGUUUGUCCGCGAGCACGAGAUAAAAAGGGUGUCCGAGGUUGAGUUCGAAUUUAAGGAUUGUUUUGCUUGAUGUUAAGGUUACUAGUAGGUAAGAGUUGUCCUUGUUGAGUGCCACUCCAUUGGGGAAAGCCAGCUUUAUUUCUAGACUUUCCAGGCUCCUUGUUAGAAGGUUGUAGCUGAAUACCCUCCCUGUUUGGUCUUCGGUUGUCACUAUUUUCUGAGCAUCCCUGCAUUUCAAUAUCAAUCAAAGUUACUAUGAUUUUCGAGGACGGUAUUCGGACGUCAAACUGGUUAAUCUAAUGGUAUAUAGCUCAACUGUUUAAACUAUAAAUUUAUCUCGAAUUAUAUCAAAUUGAUCAAGGUCCAACUAAUUAGACAGUUUGUACCGAUAUAGUAAUUCUAACUCGACUCGGUAGGCAUUUCAGCCAUACUAAAGUUGGUAUGUAACUCAAAUUUCACAAAACAUAUUUGAAACAGUUUUUAAAAUAACUAUUAUACCCUUAAUAAAACACAUAUUCACUAUUUUGCUAAAAUAACUCAUAUCGUAUUAAUCAUAAAUAGUGGUUUCGAGGUUCUUCCUCUUUUCAGAAAAUCUAUGAGUUCAACAAUGAUGGCUUCGAAAAUCUCUCUUUAUUAGAUCGAUUCGCUUUUCACAAAACCAUCAUCGUAUUGAUGACUAAUAUGAUAAUAGUUAUUUUAGCAAAAUAGUAAAUAAUUUUUUUUAUUAAAGCCGUAUACAUCUAUUAAAAUACAGACUGCGCGAAAUAAAAUACAAAUAGAUAACACCCCACACAAAAAAAUUAAAAGCCCCACCAUUCAAACGUAAUUGUAGUCAAGCCUUACAAUUUACAUGACCGAUAGGUCUCCGUUUCGAAUCCCGAUAACUCUCAAUCGGUGCACAUGACGUAUCGAAACGGUGCAAACCUCAACUCUUAUGAGAGCUUCCGUUUGAGAGGCUAAUAAUAUAAAUAUCAUCCAUAAUCCUCUCCUAACAACUCGAAUAAUAGAAAUUCAAAAAAAUCUUAACAAUUAUAUGAUGUACCUGCUUUGAUAAACCUGACUUGAAUCGGUGAAGUAGACGGUCCCGGUAGUGGAGUCAAUAUCCAGAGCAUUGAUGAACUUGAAAGGGACACCAUCAGGGUCCGACGACACAAGUGUCGUAGCCACACCGCCGUCCGGUCCGGCCGACAUCACCCCAAAGUAAGCAUCAGCAAUGUAUAGCUCACACGUUCCUGGGUGGAACUUCAACCCCAACGGCCUCCCACAUUUGGGCUCCAAGCUUGGAUCCACUAUCCCGUCGCAAGCCGCCCUAUCCCUGCACAAAUCGAUCGAUGGAAAAACGACGAAUAUUUAACAAACUUGACCAAAUUUCUCCUAUACCAAACGAACCAUAAGGUUUUCAGAUUUCAUGUACAGAGAGUGUAGGCUAGCUAGUCUUGCCUGUUUGGCGAAACGACGAAUUCGCGCCAACCGCGGGAUUCCCACUUGAAGACCCUUCCGUCGGAGAUACCAACGUAAGGGCCUUGUCCGGUGCAGUCGAAUGCUACGCUUUCUGGGCCGACAAGUCCUGUCGGAAGCUCGAGUUUCUUGAGUUGCUGGAGAUCGCUUGAGUUAUUAUUGCAGAGCAUUGAACAAAAGUUGAUGCUAAGAGAGAUGAAGAACAACACAAGUGAUAUUGUGUCCAUCGUGGUGUGGAUUUGAUUGAGUAAUCAAGUGUAAGCAGCAAAAUGGGUGUUAUAUAAUCCAAGAUAUCAAAUGAGUCGGGAAUUCAUUUUAUUUCAAAAUGAAUUACUGUGCAGAAUUGGAAAUGUUGACAUAUGAGCAACUUCUUAAUUGGCAUUAUUCCUUGCCGGUUUAAUGUAACGGGUGGGUUUCGGAUGCAUGUUCGAUCCCGUUCCCUAAUUCGAUCCGUUGCUAAAGACUAGAUAUUAUUUAAAAGGAAAUUAUAAUAUUUUAUCAUUAAUUAAUUUCCAUCUAAUCUUCUCCCUAUUGUAUAUGGUUAUUAGUUAUGGCAUAUUUUUCUGAAAAAUAUGCCAUAACUAAUAACUUUCCAAUUCUUUGGUAAAUUUUGUUAAAUUUUGAAUUAUUAUUUUCCAAUUCCGUAAAUAUUAUUUGAAGGAAAAUAAUAUUUAUAUCAUUAAUUAGUUUCCUUAUAAUUGAAAUGGCUAAUAAAAGUGGAAUCCAUUUUGAACAUUGCAAUUACCUCGGCGAUCUACACGAUAACCAGGACGGAAUUGAGAGCUUUAAUAUGGGUGUAGCUGGAUUCGCAAGUCGUAAUCAAGUUAUUGUUAGCGGAGGGUGAGAGCGCACACCAACACUCUUUUGAGGUCAUCCAAUUUCGUGAGAUGGGCUAGGCCAUUAAAGUUGAGCACAUUUAUCGGGAAGGCAACCGGAUCGUUGACACACACCAACACUCUUCUGAAGUCGCCCGGUUUUGUGAGAUGUUGGUCAGGACUAGACGAUCAAAGUUGAGUACAUUUAUCGGGAAGGCAAUCGGGCCUUUGAUUUCUUAGCAGCCCUAGGUCAUCGUUUACUUAUUGAUGUUUAUUCUAUUCCUAUUUAUGAUCUUACACCUUUGAUACAUAUUUUAUAUAACUUAUUUGAAAUUUUUCAACCUCAUUCGAUUAUAAAUAAAAAAUAAAGGCAAAGAAUGAAAAAAGCCUCUUGAGAAUCUCACCGUGUUCAUUCACCUUCACGGCCAACAGAUCAUCGGUGACAUUACCGGUGACAUUGCCCAUGCCGGAGUUUAAUCCGACCCAAAGUGUUCCUCCCCGCCAACAAUAGGAGGGCACCUACUAAUGUUGUCGGGGAAUUCUGGAACUUCUGCAAACAGCUUCGGUGUAGGGAAUCCAGGCUCUGGCAUGAGAUUGAGUGGGAAUUGAAGGAUCAUUUGAUCGAUGUUAAGGUUACUAGUAGAUAAGAGUUGUCCACGUUGAGUGCCACUCCGUUGGGGAAAGCCAACGAUGUGGCUAUAAGUGUCAGGUUCUUUGUGUGAGGAUCGUAGCUGAAUACCCUCCCUGUUUGGUCUAGGGUUUUCACUAUGUUCUGAGCAUCCCUGCAUUUACAAUAUAAAAAAUCAAAGUUUGUGAGUUCAUUCAUUCAACUCUUUAAGCUGUAAUUAUAUCAGAACUGAUCAUUCGGUGAAGGUAGAGAUUUUCGAGGAGAGAUGAAAGAUAUGAGCAGUAAUUUAUAUUUAUAUGCAUACCUGCUUUGAUAAACCUGAUGGUCCCGCGAAUUUUACCCAACCGUGGGAAUCCCACUUGAAGAUCCUUCGGUCGGAGACACCAACGUAAGGGCCUUGUUCUUCGCAGUCGAAAGCUGUGCUUUCUGGGCCGACAAGUCCUGUCGGAAGAUCGAGUUUCUGGAGUUGGUUGAGAAACGUCUGAUUACAGAGAAUUGAACAAAAGUCGAUGAUCAGAGAGAUGAAGAACAACACAAGUGAUUUUGUGUCCAUGGUGGUGUGGAUUUUGAUCGAGUAAACAAGUGUAACAAGUUGAUGAUCAAAGAAUGUAUAUUAACUUGGUCAAUUUUGAAUUAUUACUUUUCCAACUGUGUAUAUAUUAUUUUAAGGAAAAUGAUUAUAAUAAUAUGUAGAGUAUAUCAUUAAUUUGUUUCCUUAUAAUUGAAAUGGCCAAUAAAAGUGGAAUUCAUUUUCUUUAUAAUUAAAAAAAAUCAUUUUAAUGAUGGCAAUGGGUACGGGACGAGUAUGACAUAUUUAUCCUCGGUUCAUUUAGUUAUUUGGUUUUAUAUAUAUCCACCCGUUUGGAUAAACAGAUAUAAUAUGAAAACCAUACCCGUUCAUGUACGGGUUUCGGAUUUACCCGUUUAAUCCGAAAAUUACCGACGAGUUAAGUCAUGUUUCUAUGCAUCGUUAUGCAUGGACGUUGGUCGUGCGUCGACAAUUAACCAUCAAACUCAAAGUGAAAUCACAACACCUGAAAAUCACAACCAAAAUCAAAUUAAUCCACGUGAUGAUUUGACAACAUCAAUUCAAAACAGGCAAAAUUCAACGCCACUCUCUCCAAUUAGUUUUACACCUGCCGACGUGGCAGCAAAAACCCACCAAGAAAUGAAUAAACAAAUACUUCGUCUGGAAGACAACCCAAACCAAACCAAACCCAACCAGUCAAACUCAAGUCAAUUGGGCCCCACUCCAAAUUCUCCUCGUUUCCCUUCUCUUUCCUUUUCUCCUCCCUAUGGAUAAACCGUGGGACUCUUUUACCCCUAGCUGGCAACAGCGUGUCAAAACUCAUUGGCCACCGUUUUUCCUAUAAAUAACCAAAUCGCCACUCCCUCCUUUUUUUUCAAGUAACUACCAAACCAACCAAAACUAACUACUCUGGCAAAUGGACAUGAACUUCAACACUCAUCAUUCAGUAACCGACUCCUCCUCCUCCGACGGCGGCCACAAGCUGGCGGCGGAGAAUCCGAAGAAAAAAGCGGGAAGGAGGGUGUUCAAGGAGACACGUCACCCUGUGUACCGAGGAGUUCGCAAGAGGAACGGAGACAAGUGGGUCUGCGAGCUGCGCGAGCCUCACAGCAAGACACGUGUUUGGCUAGGAACUUACCCGACUGCUGAGAUGGCAGCCCGUGCUCAUGACGUGGCAGCCCUCUCCUUCCGCGGGAAAUCCGCUUGCUUGAACUUCGCUGACUCCGCCUGGCGGCUCCCUCUGCCCACUUCCACUGAUAACAAGGAUGUGAGAGUAGCUGCUUCUCGCGCCGCCGAAAUGUUCCGUCCCUUGGAUUGCGGGAGUACCGGCAGUGGAAGCUCUUUCAACUCCCCUCCGGCUGAAAUCAGCUCCUCCGCCGCGCCUUCGGCGGCGGCGGAGGAGUGUUGGUGGAGUGAAGUUAGCAGUGGGGGUGGGAAUGGUGAUUAUAGUACUAAUGGUGGGUAUUAUAUGGAUGAAGAACUGAAUAUGCCGAGGUUGUUGUCGGAGAUGGCGGAAGGGCUGUUGCUGUCUCCGCCGCCGAGUUACGGAGCAGUGCAGGAGAGUGGUAAUUAUGACGAUGAUCAGCGGGGAUCAUACAAUGCUGGUAAUGAUUGGUCGUUGUGGAAUUAGCUAGUUUGUCCAUCUUGUUGAUUUUGGUCGUAGUAAGAUUGUGAUUGGUCCAUUUCGGAUUAUAUUUCGCCUCGAAUGUUUCUCUUUUUCCGGAACACAGAGGAGGGAAGAGUUGAUAGAACUUUAUGUAAUGAAAUUGUCCCUUUCAAACAUAAUAUGUAUGAACCCGACAUGUUUCUUUGAUCGUUGGCGAGAGCCGUGGAGCUUUGACCAUAAAAGAGAAAGGAAUCAGAAAGAAUGUUUCAGUCACUCAUGGAAUCAUGGUCCACAUGAAUGAAGUGGGCCAAAAAGGACAAGAAUUUCUGAAAAGAUUCUGUAAUAUUUUGUUAAUCCCCACGUAACAAGAGUUCAUGUCCUGGUCGAAUCAGGAUUUGGAGCUCUUUCUUUGGAUGAGGGGGUUGGUCGGAAUUGUGAUGGUUGUUGGCAGUUGAAAACGAGAGACGUUAUGUUUGUUUGUAGUUGCCGGGAAAUCAAGCUGGGAAAGAAUAACAUGGAAUAUUCUACUUAAAACGGAUAAUAUUAGAAUAUUCAUUAGUCAGCUUUCUUCCACGUGUCAACGCGGGAAAGUUAUGACCAAUCAUCACCGGCUAAAAGUAAACUAACUGAAACGGUAACAGCGUCGUUGUAUGGUGCUACGUGGCCUAUAAUGAUUGAUCAAUAGGAUACGAAAGGGAAAAGACAAAAAAGUCCAUGUGGACUAGUAGUAUGAGAGUAUAUUCCACUUCUUCUAAGAAUCAGAUAUUUUAUUUGUAUAUUUCAUGCUAACUGAUCACAGUCUUUGACCCUGCAUGGGCCCCACCAUACUUUCCAGCUAAUGACGUGGAUGACAGCAGUCUACUUAAAAUAGAAACUUCCAACCCAUAUCCAUGGA